UUGAUAAUAAGGAGUUAUCGGUCCAAAGGCUGAAAAACUUUUUUGUAUGUAAUUUAAGGUCUUGGUCUAGGGUGUCUAUAGAUAUGAGCCCUAAUUCUCUUGUUAGUUUCAUUGAUUGGUUAGACUCUAAGGGCAGAUGAUGUUUUUUAUUUCUUUCCCUUUCCCUAUUGGGUGAACCUUUAGACUUCUGUUGUAUACUUCCUGUAUACUUGGGGCGUUGUUUUGGCGUCUUCUCUUUAUAUAUAGACUUUUUUAUCUUACCUAUCAAAAAAAAAAAACCCUCUAAACAGAUGUUCUUUUAAGAUGAAAAUAAAAAAUUAUUUUAAUCCAUGUAAAAAAAUAUUGUUGUCAAUUUAUUUCCUUUUUUAUUCACAUUCCCUUUGUUACCAAACAUUGAGAUAAAAAUAAAUAAUCAUUCCUUGGUGCAUUCACAUUCAAGAAUUGGAAUCAUUAAAUUCAUUUUUUAUUCAUGGAGAAAUAGGAAUGGAAACAAUAUCUUUUUUCUUGUUCCCCAUUUCCACAUACCAAAUGUGACCUUAGAGUAGAGAAUUUUCAAAAUGGAGGGAGAUUUGGACCAGAACUGAGCCUGAUUAGAUGAAUGCUGCUGCUGCAUGGACAUUUAAGAAGUUGAAUUUAUACUUCCACAUGCUAUAAAUAACCUGUUAUUCCAUUUUCACUAAAUGCUAAAAAAGUGCCAUGAGGAUUUUACAUCUGAUAAAUAGGGAAAACUUAUGCGCCUUAACAUAUUUCUCCUUCCUUUUCAAUGUAUCUGUAUUGAUUAAUUGUCUUUCGUCCUUUUCUUACUUUUUUAAACAAUUGGCAGUUCCAGAGCCCGUAUGUGGAGGCUCCCCAAUUUGCAGGUGCUCAGUAUAACUACAGUAAUUUUCCAAUGCCGACAGCUCCGCCUGGUGCCCAGAGAGAUUCUUCAACAGGCAGAGAGUGAAGGUGAAAAAAAAAUUGAUCUCAUUUGGGAAUUGCCUGUAGUACGACACUUAUUUGAUGUAUCAUUACUGUUAUUGGUAUAGGGAGAGGGGUUUGAGGUUUCCUGUGUUGGAUACAUGUCUGUUAAGAAUAGAUAAUACCAUGCUGGGAUGCAUAUCUCUGGUUCAGGUGAGGAGACAUGCUGGCUGUAUUGUAUUUAUGGAAGACUCGUAUUUAUAUACAUAUAGAGAGGAAGAGAGAUUUGUAGAAGGGUAGUGUCUUUCGCUGUCACUCGUCAGCUACGAUUGGACUGCCUUGUGAUUUGAAUGUUGUAUUUUGUUGAAGUGGCACCUUUGCAUUUUGGAUUCAAGCGUGUAGGGGUUAGAUUCAGUGCUUCCUUGAAGAGAAAUUUCGGCCAAACAAAUUGAAUAUGCAGUCAGAAAUUUGAAUUGACCGAUUUGUGAAGAAAUUCACACUUGAUUGUGUAAUUUUUUUUUCCUGAUAUAUACACAAAUGAUAUUUGAACCUAGAUCUACGCCAACUUUACUCAUCCUUCCACGAGCAGGUGGUUAUUAAAAUAUCGCAAGCGUAACUUCGAGAUAUAUUACAAAUUUACAACUGCGAGGAUUAGGACACAGGUGUAUAGGAACAGCUAUAAUAAAAAAAGAAAGGCAACACUGUAGGAUAAACCAGCUAAAAGAAAGUUAAACCAACCCUCAUUGGAGGUUUCAAGACGUCCAGGUUUUCCUUGAAAUUAAAAUGUCACAUAAAAUUACUUAAUUUCAAUUAAGGUCGAGCUGGUGGAACGCUCUCGCACGAAACAAGUAUUAAAUAGCGCUACACUUUCUAAUUGAGUUUAUGAAUGAAUCUUAUAUGAUAAUUGAUUUAAUUCAUCAACAAUUACAUUGGGCAAUCUUGAACAAGUGCUAACAAUAAAUUUGCUUAAGAAAUAGUGAUAUAGAAAACCUCAUUGCUCAGUUUGUUUUUUUACUUAAUUUUUUAAUGUUUAAUAGUAUUAAGUAUUCGAUUAUUUGUUUGCAUCAUAUUUUAUUUUUAUUAAAUAUUAAAAAUAAAAAAUAAAUUAAUAUAUUAUUUUUUUUAUUAAAUAAAAAAUUUAUAAUAAAUCAUAAAAAAAUUAAAAAAAAAUAAUGAUGAAAAAGUCUAAAAAAAAAAAAGAAGAGUGAUGAUAAAAAUCGAAAAAGAUAAAAAGGCGAGAGUGAUGAUCGAGUUGCGACUUGCGAGGCAAGGGAGCUUAGGGAACCUGGUAAAAGACCUAGAAGAAAUAGUCAACGUCAUUUGUGGCCGAUUGGUGGCUAAGACUCAAGAGAUCCAAGCGACUCAAAUGAAUGAAGAGCAUUGAGGAAUGAUUGGGGUGGUAGAGAAGUAGCGAAGAUGUACUGCUGAGGGAUUUCAAGGAGUCCAGUCCAGUUCAAAGUUAGGCUUGGAGGGGCACGAAAUGCUGCAAUGCUUGUCCCUCAAAUCAUCGGCGUCAACUUCAACAACCACAGUCCCUGGUAAACUUCUUUUUCUUUUUUUUUUUGUCUUUCUAAUUUUCGUGCUUCCAAUCCUAAAUAUAUGAGUGUAUAUCACGUGUUUCCUUAAUCGUGUGUAUUCCGCCAAGUGCAUUCCACUUGUUUGCUUAAUUGUCUGAACAACUUUGAAGCAGUUGAGAAUUCUAGAGAGGACACACCAAGAUCGAUCUCUCAAACUUCUCCCACCGUCAAUCUAACCCGCGAAUACACCCUCGCUGUCCAAACCAAUUCCUACAACGAGAUAUGGUCCAAGAUUCACGUCCGCCACCAGGAUGACUACACAAACACAGACCCAGACCAAGACACAGACGGGGAGCGAGAAGAGGAUGUCCAGCAGUUGCGGUUGGCCCAUGUCCUUCGACCCGACCGAGAAUGUGUCCAGGAUGCCCUUCGGCAUGCAAGGUCCAACACCCUCACCCGUCUUGUCUCUGACUACUUUGAUCACAGCGAGAACACAUCCCAACUCUGUCUCCUUCUCCACCGUAGCGUCCAUCACGCCCACUCUCUCUAUUCCCCUCUUCAUGACCUCCUCGAUAUUCUUCCCCUUGAUUCCGAUUCACUUACCCAAUCCCAGUGCAAUCAGGCCUUUGAUGUCUUCCUCCAAUUCGAUAGUCUUGACAAUCCUUUCCCCUGUCCUGACUCCCAUAAUUUCCGUGACAUGCGCCGCUGCUUCUCUCAACUUAAGGAACAACUUGACGGCCAUAUCCGAAAGUCCCGGUCUAAGAUUCGCCUUAUCUGCCGUGCAACCGCUGGAUCCGCCUUCUGUUUCAUUGGCACUGCCGUUGGGGUUGCCAUAUCUGCUGUCGCAAUUGCUACUCAUACACUCGUUGCCCUUAUUGCCCCACUAUCCACUGUAUUCCUUCCUCCCAGGCUCUCUAAGAAAGAGCUUGCCCAUGGGGCACAGCUUGAUGCUGCAGCUAGGGGUACUUAUGUUCUAUGCCAUGAUCUGGGCACCAUUGACAGCCUCGUGGCAUGGUUGCACACUGCUGUUGAGGGUGACAAGCGUCUCAUUCGCCUUGGAUUGGAGGGUGGCAGGGACAAGCAUACCAUCCAAGAGGUGGCCAAGCAUCUCUGCAAAAACCAUCUCUAUUUCCUCCACCAACUUAAGGAUCUUGAGGAACAUAUAUGCCUCUGCUUUACCACAGUCAACAGAGCCAGGUCUCUACUCCUAAGAGAGAUCGAUCUUCAUCAAAGUUCUAAUUCCUAACCAAUUUGCCUAUAUGAACCAUCUCUAUUUCUUUUUAACAUUUACUUCCCAGUCCGAUUGUGUAUAUUAAAGAUGCCUGUCAAUCCUAAGGAAGAACUAAAAACUUUUCUUCAUUUAUAUCUGCUUAUAAUUACUGUUACUGCCUACAAAAUUUUCCAAUUCUCCAAUCUUAUUUAUUGGAUGCUUCUUCGUGUUAUUACAACCAUUUGAGCAAGAACAACUUGUUCCUACACAUUGCAACACCUUUUUUUUUUUAAAAAAAAAAAAAUUCUGGCAAAAGGGCAUUAUGUUGCACAGAAGCUGAUUAUUAGCAACUGACAAACUAGAGACUUCAUUUCCCAUAUAUUCAUAUAAGCUACAUUUGGGUCAUUCGAAAGGGACCUGUUUCUCUAUAAACAACAUUCACUAGCUCUUAUGGAGUGCUGGGUUUCCUGGAAUUGAUUUGAAGUUACCAAUCCCCAUAUUAUGAAUAGAUCUUGCAUGUGUCAAGCAAACAUUUGAAGCUUAAGUGAAGGUAAUUAGGUUAUACAAGAAGUGGUUUGUCCAGCACUUGGAAGUUGUGCUUUUAGGAUUUUCAAAAGGAGAAAGUUAACUGGGCUUCUUUUUUUUUUUUUUUUGGGGGGGGGGGGGGUUGUUGGGGGCCGGUUCUGGAUUUGCUAGACUGGUGGCUUUAUAAUUGAAAGUCAUAAAGCACCAUGUCCAAAACUCCACACCAUUUAAUGAAAUAAAGCAAUAACUGAAAGAAGUGAUCAACUCAAUAUGGCAAUUAGGUGCUUGACUAAUGCCAAAUACUAUGAAGUAGUUGUGAUUCUUCACAAAUGAGUUGGUGACCGAAUUUGUUUUUAGCACACCCAGUUGUUCUUUGCAUAUAAACAUUAGAAAUCCAUUAGGAGAUGUACUCAAUAAAAAGGUGCAAUAGUAUUUUGAUUGUUUAAGAAGUUGGGGUGCAGACAUAUUUGCUCCAGACUUGAGUGGGGUUGUUUAAGAGCGAUUUAUUAGUUAAAUUGGUUUUUUGUCAUUACUUCUUCCCAUUGGAUUAUUUGUGCAUUUGUAAGUGACUUCUUUCUAGGAUACGGAAUUUGGAUUCCCUUUAUUCUUCAGUUGCUGAAUGGUAUAACAUGUAUUAUCUGACUCUGUAAUCCAGUUGGAUCCUUGGAGUUUUUGUGUUAUAAGUUCAGGGUUUGUUUUUUUAACCAUAGUUGAGAUGUAAGAACAAGGAUGCUAUACUCCUGUUAUUCCUUCUAGAGCAUCUAAUUAUACCUAAUUUUCAUAUAAAUUCAUGGUAUAAGAUGUUUAUCCAGCCCCUUAGAAUUUUGAAAGCAAAGCUGUUGUGCACUUCCGCUGUUAACAGACCAAACAUGCCUCUUAUUCCUCUUUUAAUUCAUGAUAGCAUGUAUCAUAUCAGACUGUUUGAACUUUCUUGCCAAAAAAACAGAGCGAGAGAAAAAAAAAUGCAUAUCUGCUAUUUACCUAUCACUGUGAAUCCCUUCCCUAUGUAUACUUUAUUUACCGUUUGUUUCUACUGAAAUUUUCUAGGAAUUUUUUCUUCUAUUCUUCGGAGAUAAGUAGAUGAUCAUGGAGGAUAUUUUGUCAUUCUUUUUUGUUUUUUAUCCCCCUUGAGGGUGUUAAAGAGGACUAACUUGGAUAGGGAAGCUCAAUGUAGAAUUUGAAAAUAAAAGAAAGGUAUUUGUAAGUGAAAACUGGCUCAAAUUUUUUCUUUAUUUCCACUUAGGAGAGUGCAUUUUAAUGGUGUUAAUGGUAGAUGCAAUCUUAGCGACUUGAUUCAUAUAGUUCAACUUGUGUUUGAUGAUAUUUGACUUGGGAUUGACCCCACAUCAUUAUAUUACUGAAUUUAGUCUGAGUGCAUUUGGACCUUCGCUCUUUUUCAAAAAGCUGAUUUUGCAACUUCUCUAAUACAAACACUCAUUGGAAACGAUCAUGAUCCCAUGCCCUGGCUGGGAAAUAAAGGAAAACAGUUUUGGAAGUGUUUUUCAGCCAACUUUUCAUAGAUUAUUUUGGCUAUAUUCCAAUUGUGUCAUUCAUUCAGCCAACCAUUCAAGGAAUAUUUGGCAAUGUUCCAAUUGUGUUAGUCAAAUUCCUAUAUGAAUUAAUUAGGUUGGACACACGAAAAUUAGAAACAUUAUCAAUUUCUAUCCCACAACUUACCAACAAAAUCCAGCAGCGAGUACUUGAAUAUGGUAGAUCUUCCUAAAGUUGGAUUUUUCACCAAUUGAAUUUGGAAGGAAGGCGGUAACACCCGGAUAAAGAGGUUCUGUUCGUUCUAAUUGGGUCAGUUAAUUAUGCGAUGCGGUGAACAUGUUCAGCCUCGUGAUGUUGGUGGGAUGGGCGCUGGGCACUGGGCACUGGGCACUGGGCGUCAUCAAAAAAUAGCUUUAAAGUUCUUGAAAAUUAGGGAUAUUUAUAAUUAACUACUAUCAUAAAUAGAGCAUAGAGGAGUCAUCAAAAAGUAGCUUUAAAGUUCUUGAAAAUUAGGGAUAUUUAUAAUUAACUACUAUCAUAAAUAGAGCAUAGAGUUGAUAGGGAUGACUCACCUUUUAAACACCGACUGACCUCCAUCAUUGAUGAAACAUUUUUUUUAAUUAAUUAGCAAUAAUAUUGCAAUUAGUAGCCGUGUUACUCACAAGUAGCAUACUAAUAAUUCUAUUUUCUCAUUUAUUUAAUUAUUUUUUAUUAAUUUUGAAAAUUAAUCAUAAAAGUAUAUACAUUAGUAGUCCAUGGUGUGAGUUCUAAUGCAAGAACAAAUAUUAGAAUUGCUUGACAAAGAACAAAGGCAGCAGUGAAAUGAGGAAUGGGAAGUAGGAAAAUUUUGGCAGAAGCUACCUUAUAUAUGUGUUGGUUCAGGAAAGUAUUAAAGAAAUAAAAAAUGUUCAAAAAAAAAAAAAAAGUAAUUUCGUGUGUGAUUUUAUUGUAAAGAAUAUAAUAUAAUUAAAACUAGUUAAAAUUUUAUGUAUUUUUAGAUUAUUUGGUUUUUAUAUAAGAAAUUUAAAAUAAAUGAAAUAAAUUUGAAAUAGUGUAUAUAAAAAAGAAUAAUUAUAAUAAAAGGAUAGAUAAACUUAAUAAUGCACAGCAUAAUUGUUGAUAAAGGUAUGAAAUGUGGUAAACCAAAAUGCCUGGUCCAUCCAUACUUUCUUUUUGGCAUCCAUCCCCCUAUCAUCUUUAUCAAUGAAACACAAUCUCUUGCUUUAAUCCUUUCAUAAUCCAAACCUCCAUUAUCUUCAACUCUUGUAAGCUCGAUCACAACUCUACACCAUCUUAGCCCACCUUAGUCUCCCAUUUUUAGUUGUUCUUUGAAUUCGUUCCACAAUAUUCAUAGAAAACCCACAAAGCUCCUAUUUUUGCCCUUCAUUUUACAACUUUUCUUUCUAUAAUUUUUCUUUCACGGGAAAAUAAAGGAAAAAGAAAACGAAAAAACAUAUACACGGUUUUCCUUCAAUAAAUAUAAAAAUAGAAAAAAAUAAUAAAGUUAAUUUUUAUUUGAUUUGUAUAUAUUUAAAAAAUAAAUAGAAAAAUUUUAAAUUUAUAAUUUGAUUUUAAGAUAAAAUUUGAAAACAGAAAACAAUAAAAUAAUUUGAUAAAGUCACGUUAAAAAGGUAAUGAUUUAAAAAAUUAUUUAGAAGAAAAAGGUAGUAAAUUUUUUAUUAUUAUCUCACAUUUAAAAAAUUUUUAAAGUAAUUUUUAAGGAUAUAAAACGAGCUUAUAUUUUUCAUAUAUAAGAAUUUUUAUUUUUAAAAUUGUAAAAAUUAUUGUUAUUUUUUAUUUUUAAAAAUAAAAAAACAAGAAAUGUAUUUUAUAGAAACUUGGGUAUUCAAAAAUUUUAAAAUGCAUAAUUUUAAAAUAAAAUUAUUUUAAAUUUUAAAGUAGUAAAGGAUAUUUCAAGAUUUUAGAGAUUUUGAAUUUUAAAAUUAUAACCAUAUUUAAAAGUUUUUCUUACAUCUAACUCUACCUAAAAAUUUGUUCUACUCCUUCAAAGUUAUGCACCUUCAACUACUCCUUUAUCAUAAUUAUCCUUAAAAAUAAUUUAUUUAUUUUUGUUUUAUUUUAUUUUUUUCGUUUGACUUUUUCUCUUUAUUUCCUUUAAAAUAUCUAGAAUCCAAAUACAUCCGAUUUUUUCUCAUUAACAAGGUUAAUUUCAUUUAUUCAAAUAAGAAUAAGUUUGAAUAUGAAGCACGAUCUGGUGGUGGAAAAAGCACUAGAAAGGAAAAAUUAAACGCGGUUCUCAAAAUCCAAGGAGAGAAGGAAAAAAAUUAGAAAAGUAAUAAACGAGAGUGGAACAGAGGGGAUUGGACUGAGGAUGGCCGGGCUUACCAGCGUAGUCACACGUAAUACGUUUAAUAACGGGGAGAGACUAGAGACAUUGGGUUGAGAGCGAGGGGGAAAGAGAAAGCGUGAGAUACAGAUCCACGUUCCACACCAAUACACACCGCUUCCCCGGAAUCCAGAUCUUCCCAAUUACAAACCCUACCCCCACUCCUCUGAACGAUAGGUUCAAAAGUAUUAAGCAAAAUAGAGUCGAGCCAAGCCUUCUCUAUCAAUCUGCCUCAUCUUCUUCGUCGUUUUUCUUCUUCCAAAUUAGUAAAUUGAAUUGCUCCAUCUCUGCACCGCUUGUCUCCUUGAGAUCUAGUAUUUCUAUUGCGCAUCCUCCCUUUUCUUUUCCAAGAGCAUGGAGAGCGACAAGAAAUCCUCCGUUUCCGAUGUGGGUGCCUGGGCCAUGAAUGUUAUCAGCUCCGUCGGAAUUAUCAUGGCUAACAAGCAGCUUAUGUCCGCCAGUGGUUACGCAUUCAGCUUCGGUUAGUCUCUCUGAUCUGGCUUUUGUAAAUUCUCUUACCCAAUCUAAUUGUAUCCCCACUACAAAUUACAGCUGCAUUCUUAGGUUUCCGCGGAUCUUUCGUAUUAUUUCCCUUCUGAGCUUUUUUCUUUUUUAAAAAAAAAUAAUAAUUAUUUACGUCCUUGUUUUAAAGUUCUUAAUUUUUUUUUAAUUAUCAUUUUUCCUAAAGAGGUGUUUGAUCUGAUGCUUUCUUCUUUCGAAUUUCAAUCUUACCUUCUCCUCUUUUCUUUUCAUAAUAUUUUUUUUUUCCUUUUUCCUUUUGUCUGUUGUAAGUUAUCUUUUCGGAUCUCUUGACCCUUACUCAAAUUCGUCACGGAGGAAGUUCCUUAUUGGGAUAACGGGAAGAUCCAUCACUUCCCAACUGCUCGCCAAGUUAGGAACUGACUGAAUACUGGGAAAAAAUUCCGGCCAGCUAAACAUAAGAAUUAUAGAAAUGACCUGGAAAUUUUGAACCUGUUCUCUUUUGAGGAUCAGUAUGAUUUAUUCAUUCACCUGAUUUCUAAUUCCUGACCCAAAUGUUCAACUCUAAACUUAUUAUCCUGUAUUCUUUUUCAGCCACCACUUUAACUGGGUUUCAUUUUGCGGUUACUGCACUGGUUGGUCUGGUGUCAAAUGCUACUGGCUAUUCUGCAUCAAAGUAUGUUCCUUUGUGGGAGCUUCUCUGGUUCUCAAUUGUAGCCAAUAUGUCUAUCACAGGGAUGAACUUGAGCCUCAUGCUAAACUCAGUUGGAUUCUAUCAAGUAAGAAUUACUAAAACGCUUCAUUGGUACGUACUUAUGUAAUUUUUUUUAACGGUAAAUUUGAGUACCUUUAUAAACGGGUAUGAUAUUAACUAAUUUUGGGGGCUUCCCUCGGGCAAGGUAAGGUAUGCCAGUCCAAGUGGACACCAUUCUAAUGUGCCUGAGUUGUAUUUAUCUAGUUUUUCAUCUAAGAUGUUAAUUUAGUUUUUCUUUCAACGCUUUUGGAAGCUUGUUCAUUUGUUAGAAUUGUGAUCUUUGUUAGAGCAUUCAUACUCCUUUAUAUUUUUGUGGUCAUUCCCCUAGUUUUAUUCCAUGUUUGCAUUUACCAAGGAUGCUUCAUUUGCUUUUAAGAAAACCAAAUCUUCACCUGAAAUGAGUCUUAUGUUUACCUCUGAUGUUCCUACGAGAGUGAGAACUGCCUGAACUUGCUCUGUUAUAGUGUACACUGUUUAUUCCCAAGUUAGUGGAGACUAAGGGAAUAUACUCCUUUGGAUGUUGUGCUUUUAGAAUUUUUUUUGUUAGGACUUGGGAGCAUGCCAUUGGGAUUUGAUUUGUACUUGAUUUUGCACUAUACAUGGUUGCAAUCCAUAGCUCAAGGACAGAUGAUAAAUAUAGAUAUUUCAUUUCGAAAAGAAGCUGUUUUUAGCAACUUGAAGGUCGAAUCUCUUUUUCAGAUUCUGCAACCAUAUAUCUCGUUCAUGUACAUUUUGAGGGCUUGCAUUAACUUUGAAACCCUUUUAACUGCACUACUAUGUGCUUUUAUCAUAUGCCAAAAGCAAAGUUUGCUUUAGGAGAGACCUUGCAUUGGAAAGAACCUAGUCCUUUUCUGGCACCUUAGGGUAUGGCUUUAUUUUAUUCAAGUUAGCUUCUUUGUUUUGGUGGCUUGCUUAGUCUUGGUUAGUAAUUUGGUGCUGCUGCAACCAAUAUUUUUUCUUGCAUUUAAAUCAUCUUGAGAUGCUACUCACUCUUGUAUUCUACUAGAAUUUUCUUUUGUCUGGGUGCUCUGAUCUUUUUUGAUCAUGGAUUACCAUCUGCUAUAUAAGAGAGAUUUUAUUUCUCCAUUUUCUUGGAGGUCAAGACUUCUAAUGAAGAUGCCAAAUUAUUAGCCAAAAGGGAGCAAUGAUCUGUGGACUUUUAAUUUUUCUCCUUUUUUUCCCCUAGUCUCUCUAUAAAUUUCAGUUUUUUUUAUCCAAACAGAAAUAAAUCAAGGGUAGAGUAUGAUAUAUGUCUUUCCACCAAAGGAAAAUUGAGGUUUCUUCCUGGGUUUGGGUUUGGAAUCAGCAUGGUUGGUUUCAAGAAGGAAAGUUUCAGAAACACCCCACUGAUUGUUGUACUAGUUGAACACAUUGGUGCAAUUCUAGAUGGAUGAUACUGCAUUUAUGUUUCUGAAACACUAACUUUGCUGUUAUUUGCUUGCUAAAGAUUAUUGCUUUUCUUGGCGAGGGGUGGUAUUGCUGGUGGUGUGUGGUUGUUGAGGUGACUGAAGCAAACCGAGCAUCAAUUUGUUUAAGAACAGAGACAUGUGAUCAGUUUAAACAACUGAUUUUUUAAGGUUUUCAAGGAUGAAGACCUUGUUAUUAGUGGCAAUUCAUGUGACUUUAGUUUCACUAGUUAUACGCAUUCCCUAUUUUAGACUAAAAUUCUUGAUGCAGUGGAUGGUGAUUUGGACAGGUUCUUUGUUUUUUUUGUUUUUUUGUUUUUUUUUUCUCUUAAAUAAUUUCUUGUACGGUACAAAAGUGAAGUCUGUUUCAGAAGCAGCACUUAAUGUAAUUUGUUCAAAGAAGUGCAAGAAUUUGAUGCUAACUCUCCAUGUAAAACUUGCCUUGUUCUAUCUGUGGUGCAGAUUUCAAAACUGAGCAUGAUUCCAGUGGUAUGUGUGAUGGAAUGGAUCCUUCAUAACAAACACUACUCUAGGGAAGUGAAGAUUUCUGUGGUGGUUGUGGUUAUAGGAGUGGGUGUCUGCACUGUAACUGAUGUGAAAGUUAAUGCUAAAGGUUUCAUAUGUGCCUGUGUAGCAGUAGUGUCAACAUCUUUGCAGCAAAUUGUGAGUAUAUGCUAAUUUCCUCUUGUUUUGCAUUUAUUAUGUAAAUAGUCCUGUCAAGGCUGAUGAAUUGAUCGGUUUACAAAUUAUUUUUUCCCUGAAUUUUACAGUCCUGUUCUGCACUAUUUUAUGUUUGUCCAACAUUGGUUUUUCUUAGGCACAUUUUAGUAUUUUUCAUACAUUUUGGUAGCUAAAAAGUAAUGAAAUUGCUUCUUAGUGAAAAUAAGUUUUUGUUUUUCAAGGUUAAUGCUUUUCUGUUUCUUAUUGUCACUACAAUCAUUGGCUGCUUCAUAAUAGAUUUUCAUUGGCUUGUUUAGAUCCUGAGGAAGCAAUUGCCUCUUUUAACACCUAAAUAAGAAUUUUAUUAAAAUGACACCUAACAAUAAAGGGGAACAACCCUAGCACACAAGAAGUGCACAAGGCAUUUAAAGAUUUAAGGACAAAAAGAAGGUAAAAAGCAACAAACUCUUAGCUACCAUGUAGCAAGCUAUCUACUAAGUGGAGAAGGAAAGACUCUCAAUUCCAAUUCCUCCUUAAAUGCUACUAGACCACAAAAACAGAGCCUUGAGAAAGCUAUCCUUCAUAGCCCAUCUUGACCUUUCAUGCAUUUGAAGAAACUUCUAUUUCCUUCUCUCUAGGUAGACCAAAACAAAUAUAAUGGACCCCCUCACCAUCUUGCAAUUCUUGCCCAUAUUUAUGCCAUGCCAACUAAAUAACACAUCUUUAACUAACGAGGCAAGACCCAAGAAACCUUGAACAAGGAGAAGAUAGGAUGCCACAAGCGCAAUACCUAUUUGUAAUGAUGAAGAAUGCAUCCCUAACUUUUCAUUUUGCUUGUGAAGGCAACACCAAUUUACCAUACUUCAUCCUCUAAACAUCUAAUGUAGGACAACCCUAGGAUGGUUGGGUACAAUUAAAUAGGUGGGAUAGGGUUUUUAUUUUUUAGGGUUUAAGGAGAAGUAAAUGCGAAAAAGAAAAGAUAGAAACCUUAGAGUCUCACUAAAGCCUUUUAGGAGUCUCAUCUAGCAGAAAAUCAAUGGAGUCUCACCAUUGAGAAUUGCAACACUUGCAAAAAAAACUAAUAUUAUUUAAUCACCAACUAAUACUUUGGUUUACAUUAAUUAGCCUUAUUUAUAGACUUCUCAAAAAAUCCAAGUCUACUAGGAAUCUAACAAUCCAUUCUAACUCUUAAGUCUAAUGUCUUAUAACCUAAUUGCCUAAUCCUAAUUUGACUCUAACAAGUACUAAUUCUAAUUAAAUUCAAAGUAGUAAAAAUCCUUCUUUAAUCGCAACUAAUACUAAUUCUCUUUCUUGAUGUAUAUCUUGGAGUCCUCAUCACCAUCACUUGAUUAGUCAUUGGAAUUCCUCCCCCCCCCCCCUACCUCCCAUGUGGAAAAAAGCCACCUUUGAAGUUAUCUUUGAAACCUAAACCACAAGGUAGGCAUAGCCUUCAUCUUGUAGUAUGAUCUAACAGAGAAAGGGCCCCUUCUAAGAGCCUUCCAAACUUGCUUAUCCAGCAACUUCAAGCUCAACCACCUCCCACCACCACACAUGCACAAACAAAUCUGUUUUUCUUCCAUCAGUGUUUGUUCACUUUGAUAGCACAAAUAGAUUGGAUUUGAGGGGAAAGAACACACUUUUAAACAAAAGGAACAUCUUAUGCUUAAUGGAUUUUGCUGGUUCGUGAUGUUUGUGUGGAAAGAGUUUUAUUCAUGUCCUCUGACAAUGAGUGGAAAAUUUUCUGUGAUACAGUCAAUAGGUUCUUUGCAAAAGAAGUACUCAAUUGGAUCUUUCGAAUUGCUGAGUAAAACUGCUCCGAUUCAGUCCAUCUCCCUCCUUGUGCUUGGUCCAUUCAUCGAUUACUUCCUUAAUGGCAAAUUUAUUACAAACUAUAAGCUGUCUUCUGGUGUCAUUGUAAGAACUUAUCUUUCUAUGCAUAUAUUAUUUCUAAUGGAUUACUGAGCACAGCCACAUAUUAUCAGUCUGUAUAGAUAGAUUCCUGCUAACUUAAUCCAAUGGUGUGCAGUUUUUCAUACUCCUUUCAUGCUCCCUAGCAGUGUUCUGCAAUGUGAGCCAGUACCUCUGCAUAGGACGCUUCUCAGCAGUUUCCUUCCAGGUUUUAGGUCACAUGAAAACAGUUUGUGUUCUUACACUGGGGUGGCUGCUCUUUGAUUCAGAGCUGACUUUUAAGAAUAUUUCAGGAAUGAUUGUUGCAGUUGUUGGAAUGAUAAUUUAUAGCUGGGCUGUGGAGAUUGAAAAGCAGGCAAAUGCGAAGACAAUGUCCAAUGUUAAAAACAGCCUGACAGAAGAGGAAAUUAGACUUCUGAAGGAUGGGAUAGAGAAGACACCAGUAAAGGAUAUUGAACUUGGUGAAUCUAAAGAAUAGAUUGACACAUGGCAGGAAAAACAGGUACUUUGUGUGAGUUCACUUCAAUUUGGUUUGUUUUUUUGCCUCAUUUACGGCCGUAUCAAGACUUAAUCUGCUGACCGUUACACACCAUCACACAUUCAUCUUAGAAAUUGUCAUCAAUUUUAUAAAAAUUUCUUAGUUUCAUUUUAAAUUAUUCUUCUUUUUAUUUAUCUGUGUGUAUGGUGCACUGAUGAAGGCACAAUGGGUUAAUAUGUAAAAUCCGUUUUGUUCAAGCUGGUAGUCUAGCUACUUUAAUGUCUCUCGUAAGGUCAUGUACUAUGGAUGGUGGAGGAAGCAUUUUAUUUUGAUUCAGCUUAUGUAUAUUGCAAGAUUAGAGACGGGGUGAUGCUUGGCUUUUGCAUGGUUUUGAUGACAAUUUUCUAUGUAUAUUGCAUGGGUUAAGGGAGAAAAUGGGGCAUGAUAACAGUGCUAUGUAUUAUCUAGCCUUUUAAUCAUGAAUAUUAUUAAUAAAGAUGGGUUAUGGAGCAAUUUUCAAAUAAUACUAAAUAUGAUAUUUAAUACUUUUUUUUAAUAAUAAAUUUUAGAAUGUGAUAUAAUUUCUUUAGUAAACGAAUAUUAAACUAUUGAAGUAUUGUAGAAGUGGAAAUGAAGGAAUCUCUUCAUCCAGUCUCUUUGAUGGCGUACGUUAACCAUGCGCUUGGAAGGAUACUACAUUUCCUUUUCUGUACCCUGAAAAGCCCCUAAAACGGUAAUAGAAAUAUCAUAACUAGUUCAUUUUCCUUUUUGUAAAGACUGCAAGCAAAAGAGAAAAACCGAAAUAAGAAAGGGAAAUGGGAUGGGACCAAUCCAGUUCAUACCAUACUGUUCAAAUCUUCAAACGUAUUGAAGAGAAAAGGGGGAAAAUAAAUUUUAAAUUAAUAAUAUAUAUAUUCUUCUAUUACAUAAAAAUUAAAAUAUAUAAGUUUAUAACUAAUUCUAAUCAUAUGUUAUUUUCUUUCUUAUUUAAGAAUAUGUAUAAGUUUUUUAUUUUCUUGUUAAAUUAAAAUUAAUAUUUUUUUCCCUUUUAAGGAUCAAAAUAGUAUAAAUAAAAUUAUUAAUACAUAAGAUUAUCAUAUAAAGAGAAAUCAGAUCGAGUCAAAAUUAGAAGGGAAUGGACCUAUUAGUAGUUACAAGUAAGGGGGCCAUCACACACAUGGGAUGAGUUUUAUGAUUAAUGCAUUAAAAGGGAAUGGGCCUAUUAUAAGUUACAAAUAAGGGAACUAUCAUGAGUUUUAUGAUUAAUGCAUACUUCUGGGUCUUCUUGGCCAAACCCUCAAUGGAAGGAGUUUUCUACACGAGGAAAAACAUGACUAUUUAAAAGGCAAACAGCCAACGGCCCUGUUUGCUGGAACGCAUUGGACAUAUUCCAAGGCAAAUAAAUCAUAAAUCAACUACCAUCUAUGGCCGGUUAUAACCCUUCAAAGGAUUCAACCCAAAAUGGGAUGCGUAAGCUGAUUUAUGCACAUGAGUGAGUUGACUCUUUCAAAGAAUUUGAAAUUUGAUUUGUUUUUUUUCCGUAAGCAUGCAUCCAUCCAUAUAUAUAUAUAUAUAUAUGAUAACUUUUCUUUUUCUCAAAUUCUCAAUUGUGAUAGGCACGGAUUUCCCCUCAAAUUUUUCGCAUUUGUGUGGCGCUUAAAUGCCCUUUAAGCUAACCUAAAGAAAGCCAUAUGAGAUUGUAACAAAGAAAGACUCAUAAAAUACAUGAGGUUUACGAGGUUCAAUCCCCUAACUUGUAUUUAUUUACUCUCUAUAAAAAAAAUACAAGACAUGACUCUCAACAUAACUACCACAAUAUGCUUGGUGUGUUCAAUGCUUUUCAAAAGGCACUCCAACCCUCUCUUUUUAUAGGAUGGUCACACCAACUGCCCCUCUUCUCCUAUUCAAAUUACAAUUACAAUUACAAUCCAAAUUCAUAUUCAAAUCCAAAUUACAAUUAGAAUUUGAAUCCGAGUUCUAACUUUUCAUGCCUUAAGCCCAUUCCUCAUACAUCUAAAACUCUCAUGUUACUGCCACAUGUCCAAGCUCAACAAAAUCCCCCAUGUUUUUAAGGGCUUAGUUGUUCCAUGUCCUUAUUUAGUCUAGAGGAAGGCUCAACCAUACCCAAGCACCAAGGUUGGGUACAUGUCUUCUUGGGGCUUAUCCUAAUCCCAAGAGGUCACUCUUGUGUUUUGCCUUAUAUCAACCCACUCAUAUGCCUUGAGUCAACUCACUCAUGUGCAUAAAUCAGCUUAUGCAUCCGAUCAGCAUGUUAUAUGCGUCUCUAAGUAGCUUGUUGCAUGUGUCUCUAGGUAACCUGUUGCAUGCACCUCUAGGCAACCAAUUGCACACGCUUCUAGGUAGCAUGCUGCAUACGUCUCUUAAGUAACCUACUACAUGUAUCUCUAAGCAGCCUACUGCAUGCGUCUCUAAGCAGCCUACUGCAUGUGUCUAUAGGUAGUCCUUGUGUGUGCCAAGUCCUCUCUUGGCCUGCAUAUCUAGCAACAUGCCUUGGUGUCAAUCCGUCUCUUAGCUCAUGGCCCAUGCUAUUCCUUAAGUGUGCCAUGCUUAUAUGCAUUCCCACAUCUAGAUCAAGUCCAGGUCGAGGCAUCUAACACAUUUUUUUCUAUGCCCACACCCUUUGUCAUUAUGCCCACAAUUUGCACUAUACAUCAUGACUUAAAUGCCCAUAAGUGUUUGCUUGGCAAGGGUUACCAUCACCCUUUGCCUUCUUUUGAAGCCCUCAUGUGUGCCCUUGGUCAGGCAUGGGUCCUACCACUUGCUGUCCAUGCAUGCUAGAAAUGUGAGCCAUGUACUACUUAUGCCACCUACUUUCCAUGUGUGAUGGCAACGUGGGCUAUGUGCUACUCAUACAUGCUAGUAGCAUGCACUCAUCUCGAAGCCACCGAAAAGCUUUACAAAAGUCCUUGUUAGCCCAAGGGUUCUUCUAAUUAGGUUUUAAUGAUAACAAAUCAUGAUUAAGUUACUAAUUUGUUUAAAUUGUAAAGAAUCUCAGGUAUUAAUUUGUAAAUUCAUCGAAGAACCUAAUGGAUAUAAGAUCAAGACGUUUGGAAGACCUUUAAUCAUAAGAAACAAAUGUAAGAUAAAUGCAUGAGUACACUUAGGUUUUACAUAUCGUUUCAUGCAUCUUUGGAAAACUCAAUUUACUCUUUAAAGUUAUAGUUUCAUUAAAACCCAAGUUUUAUCAAAUGUAUAUUAGGCAAAACGUUUCAAAAAUGACAUAUUAAUUUACCUAAAAACCUUGUCUAACUGUUAGAAGAGAAAAUAACAAAAAAAGAUAGGUUUUCGGGACCAAAAUGUUGAACCGGUUGAGGCAAGCACUCUCUCUCUUCCAGUAGUCCUUCAUUCCCGAUCGAGGUAUCCUCCGGUCGAUGUCCGAUCGAAGUUCGAUCAAAGCAACGGUAACCUGCCAAAGCAUUAAAUACUCAAACGGCUAGUGAUCCGAUCAAGCCCCAACUCUACCGGUUGAGGCUGCUUUUUGUUUUUCUUGGCUCUCGAGUUAGAAACCUAUAAAUAGAAAGUUUCACUUCAUUUAUGAGAUAUAGAACACCUACAUUUAUUUGUCUACCCACUUGUUCUUGCCUUAAAAGUUCUCAUUUCUUUCUUGAUGUAUUAAAUUUUCACUUGCAUAUCCUUUAGUGUACCUUUGUGAUUCAUCCUAGCUUUGAUUUGUAUUUGAGCUAUUAUUGAAUUAGGUUGAGAGAAGUUCAUUCUUGUAAAUUGAGUGUUAAAGCCUUCAAGUGAGUUGAAUCUUGAAGAGAUUGUGUAAGAGUUCAUUGGAGCCGGAAUCCAAGUGUAAAGGAUAUUAGAAGCUUGGUUGAAGCUUCAAGUUAGUGGAACCCUCACUCGAUUAGGAGCUUGAGGAGAGUGGACGUAGGCAAGGAAGUGUCGAACCAUUAUAAAAUCUGAGUUUAAUUUCUUUAACUCUAUCUCUUUAUAUUUGCUUCUAUUGUGCUUGAAUUUGUUGUGUUCAAAAAUAAUUUUUAAAAACUCAAUUCACCCCUCAUCUUGGGUGUUUUUCUCAUUUAAGUUUAGCCUUUAUUUUUUUUAGUCCUUAUUUGCUUGUUCACCUUCUCUUAGUCAUAGGCCACUCAUGAAGUCAAGGUGUCACCCCAUGAGGCCUUAGUGUCACGUGCUUAAGGUAAAGCGGUAACACAUGGCUCUUUAAAAGGCUAAACGGUCAACUGCCCUAUUUGCUAGAACACACUAGGCAUAUUCCAAGGCACAUAAAUCAUGAGUUAACUAUCAUCUAAGGAUGAUGUAAAUGUAUGUGCCUGUGUGUAAACUUAAUAAUUUUUUUUUUCUCAAAUUCUCUAUUUUUUCUCACAUACAUUUUUAAGCAAACGUUUGAAAACAUUAAAAUGAAAAUUUUUUUUUCUAAUUUUCAUCAAAACAAUAUAAAAUAGAAGAUAAAAAAAAAAAACUAUUUUCAAAUAGAAGGUCGAGAAUCCAAAAUAAAUAAUGUAUUUCAAAAAAAAAAUCAUCUAAAUUAGGUAUUAUGAAGCAAUAGUGUCAUGGAAAUCAAAGAUGAGAUCAAAAAGUUGCAUGUAAUGUGCAAAGGGAUUAUUGGACUUGAGGAGUUGAAGAAGGUUUUGAAACAUAUCUACCUCGUAGGCAAUCCUAAGGGCUUCAUCAUAAGAGUACCCACACUCUUCACUAAAUAUUUGAAGCAAGUUCUCGAAUAGAGGAUGAUUUAGGUCAUUGGCAUCCAUGUUGAAUUUGCAAAGGAUUUUCUUUCCCACGUAAACUCAAAUAUAACGUUCUAAGACCCCAUCUAAUUCCGAGGCAACUUUAAUUUCUCAACACAACAACUUUUUCACUAUUGGAUCAUAUAUUUUCUCCUGAUCAAUCAUCCUCAACCAUUUUUUUCCUAAAUCUUAUCAUUUUCUUUACUGCUUUGAUGUCAUGCUUCUUUCCUUUCACUAUCGUGGUUCAAAUGAAAAGCAACCCCAAAAGUCCAUACUUAUAUAGGCAAUAGAAGACGUUAAAAUUAAAAUUAAACUAUGGAUGAUUGCAUUGACUAAUCGAUUAGGCCAAAAAUAUAAAAAACAGUUGGAGGUGGAAGAAGUUGCUAGUUGCAUGGUUGGCUUGGCUUGGCUUGGCUAUUAAAGCCAUUAUGCUAAGUGUUAAUGAUGAGAAUUUGGAAGCUUAACUUUUUCCCAACUUUAAGUCAAUUUUGCAAUUGUAGCCCACAUGAAUGGAUAUGGCAUAUGGCAAGUGAGAUGGUUAGUGGCGGAACUAGGAAUGUGGUCUAGGAGGAGACAAUAAAUGGAGAUAUAUUGAUAUCUAGUGUAAUGGUAAACAUACUUGUCUCUUGUUCAUGAGGUCAAGGGAUCAAAGCCACCACUUUGAUUUUCUUUUUUAAGGCCUUUGCUAGCUUUACUUAUUUUAUUUUUCAGGUGGGCACAUGCGUCUUAGAUUUUAUAUUUUUAUAUUAAUUGAUUAAAAGGGAUGAAAAAAAUCUCAAAUUUGUAAAAGUAACAUCUCCCAUUUUUUAACUAUAUUAAAAUUGAUCCAACAUGAACACUAAUGAUUCUUGAUUAUAAGAGAUUUAAUAAUAAGUGUGGAAUCCCAAGCUGAUGAGCAAGAUGCUUCCAAUAAAAGUCAAGACUAAAGCCAACUAAUAAGCAUGCACAAGGAGGAAGAGUAUGUUGAAAACCACAACAAAGAAUAAUAAUAGGGAGAAAAUAAUAAUAAAAUAAAAAAAUGAAAACAAAACACAAAACAUUUUAUAUGGUUUGACCUCAGGCCUACAUCUAUAGGCGAAGACAAAGAAGAACUUCCACUAUUGUUGAAGAAAAUUAUAACCUUUUUAGCUCUUAAAUCCCAAAGUCCCAAUUUAUACCCAAAAAAGAGACUCACUAUUUUGGUCAAAAUCUCUUCCUAUAUUUUUUCGUAAUUACAAAGGAAGAUUCUAUAUAGGAAACUAAGUGUAUAAUUGUCAAAUAUGUUUUUUCCUAAAAGAAGAUAUGAUAAUAUGAUAUUUCCUUUAUAUUAAUAGGAAACCUACUUACAAAAACAUCUUCUAUUAGGAAACUAUCAAUAACUUUCCAAUUGACUCAAAAAUAGAAUUUGAGACACUUUCCAACUAUCUCCACUAUGAAACCAAGGUUUGGUUAAUCUUGAUUUUGAUGAUAACAAAACAAGGUUUAGAACUAAUGAUCAUAUUUUAAGUGUGAUUAGGCAAGAUGACUUCCAAAGUGGUAAUCCAAAGACAAAUCAAGCCAAGGAGAAAUCAUGAAGAAGAAGACCACCUCAAAGAGAAGAGUUUUUCAAGACCAAAGCUUCUUAAGGUCUCUUUGUAAGGUUGUUGGUGCACUAGGACUUUCAUGUGUUUCAUUAUUUAUUUAUGCACCAAAAUCAUCCAAGAGUAAUAUUGUUUUAAAUAUCUUAAGAAUUGGAUGAUUUCAUGUUUUCAACUAAAACCUUGUGUUAAAUGAUUUUCAAACUUGUGUUAAAAGGUUUUAAGUUGAAAAAGGUUGAGUGUUGAGCAAAAAAAAUGGCUCAACCAGUUCAACCAGUCGACCGGUUGUGCUCGUCCGGUCAAGGACCGGUUGAGGGAGGCCAAAAAGUUUCUCUCUCUCCCAGUGGCCUUCUCUUCCUGGUCAAGGUUGAACCUCAACCGGUUGAGGUCCAGUCGAGGUCCGGUUGAGGCCCAACGAUCACUUUUCCUAACAACUAGUCAACCAGUCGACCCCUAGCUCGACCGGUCGAAUCUCCAACGGCUAGUUUGGUUUUUUUCUUCUAUAAAAAGGCUCUAAUCUUCAUUGUUUCAUAAGCUUAACCUUCCCAAAUCAUUCUUGAUUAUAUUUGAGCCUUGGAAGAGUGUUUUUUAGUGCACCAUUGUUUCAUAACUCGCAUAUCUUUAGUGCAUCAUUCAAUCCUAGUUUUUCUUGUAUCUUUGAGCCUAAAGUUCUAUUACUAGGAUUUUUGUGAGAUCAUUAUUUGUAUAUCUUUGUGAGGGAUUUUCUCAAGUGAGGGGUAUCACUUGAGAGGUUGUUCAAGAGAGGGAUAUCUCUUGAAGAAGUGUAAAGGGUGCUUGGAGCCAAAAGUCCAAAAGGGUGAAUUGGAACCAUAAUCCAAUUGUAAAGAGAUUGGAAGCUUGGUUGAAGCUUCAAAAUAGUGGAACCCUCACUCGGUUAGGAGGUUGAGGAGAGUGGACGUAGGCAAGGAAGUGCCGAACCACUAUAAACUCUCGUGUUUGCACUCUCUCUUCCCUAAUUCUUUUAAAUUAUAUGCAAUUGUGUUUAUUUUGUUUAUUAUAUAUUUGCAUAUAAUUGUCUCUUAUUUUUACAUAGUUUAAAUUUGUGAAAAAGAGACCAUCACCUUAUUUACCCCCUUCCCCCCCCCCCCUACCAUAGUUUGGAUUAGCCUCAAAUUCCUAACAAUAAUGAUAUCAAAAUGCAUUUUAUUAGGGAUGUGAUUGCAUAAGAUACUAUUGUAGUGAAAAAAAUCCAUACAGUGCACAAUCCUACAAAUAUGAUAACCAAGUCAUUUUCUACAGUUANNNNNNNNNNNNNNNNNNNNNNNNNNNNNNNNNNNNNNNNNNNNNNNNNNNNNNNNNNNNNNNNNNNNNNNNNNNNNNNNNNNNNNNNNNNNNNNNNNNNAUUGUGUUUAUUUUUUUUAUUAUAUAUUUGCAUAUAAUUGUUUUUUAUUUUUACAUAGUUAAAAUUUGGGAAAAAGAGACCAUCCCUUUUUUUACCCCCUUCCCCCCCCCCCCCCUCCCCCUCUCUCUAGGGUGAUUACCAUAAGUUGGAUUAGCCUCAAAUUCCUAACAUCCACCUUGGCUCAAAUUCCAAAUAUUCAAACAAACUUGAAAGUCUUAAGUCUUCCAUGUUACUUCACUCUCACACCCCAAAGAGGCCUUCAGAUACUAUUCACACCAAUUAAAUCCAAGCAAUGCGUGAACUUAACUGUAGAAAAUGACUUAGUUAUCAUAUUUGUAGGAUUGUCCACUGUAGGGAUUUUUUUCACUACAAUAGUACCUUAUGCAAUCACAUCCCUAAUAAAAUGCAUUUUGAUAUCAUUAUUGUUAGGAAUUUGAGGCUAAUCCAAACUAUGGUAAUCACCCUAAAGAUGAGGGUUAAUAGGGUGAUGGUCUAUUUUUCACAAAUUUAAACUAUGCAAAAAUAAGAGACAAUUAUAUGCAAAUAUAUAAUAAACAAAAUAAACACAAUUGCAUUUAAUUUAAAAGAGUUAGGGAAAAGAGAGUGCAAAUACGAGAGUUUAUAGUGGUUCGGCACUUCCUUACCUACGUCCACUCUCUUCAACCUCCUAACCGAGUGAGAGUUCCACUAUCUUGAAGCUUCAACCAAGCUUCCAAUCUCUUUACAAUUGGAUUAUGGUUCCAAUUCACCCUCUUGGACUUUUGGCUCCAAACACCCUUUACACUUCUCAAGAGUUAUCCCACUUUUGAACAACCUCUCAAGUGAUACCCCUCACUUGAAAAAAUUCCUCUCAAAUAUAUACAAAGAUUGAUCUCACAAAAAUCCUAAUAAUAGAACUUUAGGCUCAAAGAUACAAGAAAAACUAGGAUUGAAUGGUGCACUAAAGAUAUACAAGUUAUGAAACAAUGGUGCACUAAAAAACACUCUUCUAAGGCUCAAAUAUAUUCAAGAAUGAUUUGGGAAGGUUAAGCUCAAGAAACAAUGAAGAUUGAAGCCUUUUUAUAGAAGAAAAAAGUCAUACUAGCCAUUAGGGGUUCGACCGAUCGAGCUAGGGGUUGACCGGUUGACUAGCCGUUAGGAAAAGUGACCGUUGGGCCUCAAUCGGACCUCGACCGGACCUCAACCUGUUGAGGUUCAACCUUGACUGGGAAGAGAAAGCCAUUGGGAGAGAAAGAAACUUUUUUGCCUCUCUCAACCGGUCAACCGGUUGAGCCAUUUUUUUUUGCUCAACACUCAACCUUUUUCAACUUAAAACCUUUUAACACAAGUUUGAAAAUCAUUUAACACAAGGUUUUAGUUGAAAACAUGAAAUCAUCCAAUUCUUAAGAUAUUUAAAACAAUAUUACUCUUGGAUGAUUUUGAUGCAUAAAUAAAGAAUGAAAUGCAUGAAAGUCCUAGUGCACCAACAACCUUACAAAGAGAUCUUAAGAAGCUUUGGUCUUGAAAAACUCUUCUCUUUGAGGUGGUCUUCUUCUUCAUGAUUUCUCCUUGGCUUGAUUUGUCUUUGGAUUGCCACUUUGGAAGUCGUCUUGCCUAAUCACACUUGAAAUAUGAUCAUUAGUUCUAAACCUUGUUUUGUUAUCAUCAAAAUCAAGAUUAACCAAAUCUUGGUUUCACAAUUAUGUUUGGUCCUCUCAUAAAACAUCUGAUUUUUAGUCAAAUGUAUGACACUUUAGCUAUCACAAUACAUAAUAGUCAACUUUUUUUGUAAACCUAAAUCACCAACCAAACCUUUAAGCCAAAUAGUUUCUUUCACUGCUUUUGUGGCCGCCAUGUAUUUUGCUUUAAUAGUUGACAAAGCAACUAUAGAUUGUAAAGUUAUUUUCCAAGUAAUAACAUUACCACAUAAAGUGAAUACAUACCUUAUUAGGGAUUUUCUUCUAUCCAAAUCUCCAACAUAAUUAGAAUCAACAUAACCAACAAUUUCCAUAGAGAGGUCACUACUUUUAUCAUCUACUAAGUCAACAUGUGAUGUUUCUUUCAAGUAUUGAAGUGUCUAUUUCACAGCUUGCCAAUGGAUCUUCCCAGGACGAUCCAUAUAUCUACUCACAUCACUAACUGCAUGUGAAAUGUCUAGCCUAGUGCAAACUAUGACAUACAUAAUGUUCUCUCUCCCAAUUGCACUAACAUAAGGAACAUGUGACAUGUGCUCCCUCUCUUCUUCAAUUUGAGGUGACAAAGCACUUAAAAUAUUAAAAUGAGUUGCUAAUGGAGUACUCACUGGUUUUGACCCUUAUAUUCCAAAGUGUUCCAACACUUUCUUAAUGUACUUUUUUGUGAUAAGUACAAUUUUCAUGCUUCUCAGUCUCUAUAAAUCUCUAUACCUAUUUUUUUUUUUUCGCAGCUCCAAGAUCUUUCAUUUCAAACUCUCAUUGAAGUUAAGUUUCCAACUUGUUUGAUCUUGGACAUAUUAUUGCAGACAAUUAACAUGUCAUCAACAUAAAAUAAUAAAUAAAUGAAAGAACCAUCAAAUAAUUCCUUGUGAUAAACAUAAUUAUCAUACUCACUCCUAUGGUAGCCAUUACCAAUCAUAAAAGUAUCAAACCUUGUAUAUCAUUGUCUAGGAGAUUGCUUCAAACCAUAAAGAGAUUUCUUCAACAAAUAAACAUGUUCUUCCUUUCUCGAAAUAAUGAAUCCCUCAUGUUGAUGCAUAAAAAUAUGUUCUUCUUACUCACCAUGUAGAAAAACAAUAUUGACAUCAAGUUACUUUAACUCUAAAUCAAAUAAAGCAAUCUUAGCAAGUAAUACCCUAAUUGAGCUAUGCCUCACAAAUGGAGAAAACACUUCAUUAAAGUCCACAUUAUCUUUUUGUGUGUAACCUUUUGCCACCAAGUAUGCUUUGAACCUAGCAUCCUCCACUCUUGGAAUUCCUUUCUUUCUUUUGAAGACCCAUUUGCAACCAACAAUCUUUUGAUUUUUAAGUUUCUCAACUAGUUGCCAAGUAUGGUUCUUUUGAAGAGAUUCAAUCUUCUCAUUCAUAGCAACAAUCCACUGUGUAGACUUUUUACUAGUGAUGGCUUCAUGAUGAGUGUAAGGUUCCUCCUUUUCAACGCUCUCUACCACACUAAAUACAUGAGGUUUCAUUGAUAGCAGAAGAGCCUUACUCUAUAGGGGCACGCGUUAAAAUUAAAAAGAGUAUUGAAAUUUAUUGGAAAUUAGUAACAUUUCUAUAAUAAAGAAUAUGUAUCACAUAUACAAUAGGAUAAUUAUCAAAUGGAUGUCACGUUGAACUCUCAAUUUUUAACCCUUGAAGUGUAAUAAAAACUAAAUCAUUGAACACUGUUAAAAUAAAACUAAGGUACAAACAAAUAAAAUUUAAGUCUAAUUACGAACAAAUGAGAUAAUUUUUCUUAACUAUGUAAUGUGAUGUUGAAAAAUUAGUAUUUCUAUAUAGAACGUGAAAAUGGGGAAGAUGGAGGGAAGAAUCGCAUUUGUCGCAUUUAUCUAGUUUUGUAAUUUAUGUUUUAAUUUUCUCCAACUUUUUUCUUCUAGGUUUUGUUUUAGAGUGCUUGACAAGAGAGAAAGUAAGGGAAGAGUUUUGUAGUAAAAGGAAGAAUGUUAGAGCUUUAGGCUUUGUUUGGCAACUAUUUUUAAAAAUAAUUUUGUGUUUUCUAUAACAACAAAUAUAGGAAAAUAAGUUUGGCAACCAAAAAACAAAAAACAAUUUCCUAUUCUUAGAAACAGGAAACAACAUAUUUUUAAAGAACACCAUUUAGUUGUUUUCAAUUGGUUUAUUUAUUUAUUUUUUAUUUUUUUACAAUUGUUUAAAAAAAAACCUAUACAAAUAUAGAUAAUGAUUAAAAAUAAAGCAUUACAACUAAAAUUUAUUUUCAAAACAUAUUUAAAAACAUAGAAAAUAGAUUAAAAACAUUUCAAGUUCCCAAAUACUCUUGUUUUACAAAAUGUCAGAGAACUAUUUCCAAAAUUGUUUUUACAAAACUGCUUUUGAAAAUAUUUUCCAAAUUAAGCGUUAGAGUUGCAAGAAUGGAGGGGCUUCUAUGUAACCUACUUAGCUUAGCCAUUAAUCGCACUUGCCUUGCUUGGUCACCUAGUCUAGGCUUUUAGCUAGGAAACUUGAUUUUGGGCCCAAAGUAACAUAUAUUAACAAAUAAAUUUUUAUAAGUUUUACAUGUUAGGACUAGGAGGCAAACAGUGUUGGCUAGUGUCUCAAAUUCCUAAUUGGGAUAUACUUUUUCUUGUAAAAGGAAUAUUGUAUAGCAUAUUCCUAAGUUUAUAUGUGAUUGUAAUUAGAUUCCUUAUAAAAUAAGGAAAACUAUUGGAAUAUCUUUAUAACUAGGUCAUAAUGGAAAAAAAAUUGUGGGAAAGAAAAUGAGUUUGUGAGGACCAUACAUGGUGGAUAGAGAUACGAGGAAGAGUGAAAGACACCCGGUGGAGUAAAAGGGCUCACUAAGGUAUAAAUAUGAGGAAAAGUGAGAGACAUCUGAUGGAGCAAAAUGGUUUAUAGUUCAUGGUGGAGAUACAAAGAGUAGGGAAAGUUAUGAUAUUUUAAGAUGCAAUAGUUGAGUAUAGUUAUGUCCUUUGUAAUAUUCUCUAUCUUAUAAUGAAAUAUUUUCUUUUAUCCGUAGAGGUAUGCAUGAUUGGUCGAGCCACGUUAAAACCUUAUAUACCUUUUUGUGUGAUUGCUUUAUUUUGUGUUUUUCUAUUAAUAUGUUUAAAUUGACAUUUCCUCUAGCACAAGUGGUAUCAAAGUCUUGGUUGAAGGUGUUUGGAAAAGUCUUGAUUGAAGAUGUCUGAAAGAGUUUUAGAAGAGCAAAGAAGAAUCAAACACAAAAGAGAAUUAUAAAAACUGAUUUUUUUUUAGUUAAACUUAGUCGAGCCUAUUACUAACCUUUUCGGUUGGAAAUGAGCCGCUCGCCUCUUGUGAAACCUUUGCCCAGGAGUUAACGAGAAUACGGCCGAAGAAAGGCAAGCGGAAGUUACAUAGUUAAUCUACGAAGUCUUCCCCAAUAUAAUAUGUGAAUUUUUAAAAGAUAAAGAAGCGUCAAGUACCCCGCUUUCUCGCAGAUUUUAAUGGAAUUCCCAAAAGACAGGUAAGCAGGCAGGGAACUCUUUCUGCAGCCAAGCCAGCUAUUUCUGGUAUACGCUUUUUGUUGAUCUUUAGGGAAAAAAGAAGAAUCACAAUAUCCUAUUUUUUCCUUAGGAACGUCGGGAAACACACCUUUAAAAAGUGAUACCUCAAUGCCUGUCCCUCUCUACAGUAUGAGAACACUCGAAACAUAAAUCAAAACACAAAGAGUAGAGACUUAGACCACCUCAACAGAGUUAGAGAGGGGGGAUCAAACUAUAACCAUCACAGUAGAUCCAAGGUAAGGCAGAAGAUGUGGGGUUUAUCAUUAAAAUAUAAUAAAGACGGAAGCUGGAAGCUGCAAGCAGGAAGCCGGAACGGCAGGACGAACCAACUGGAAAAACUAACAAAAAACAUGAAAAGUCUAAUUGCGCAAAUCAAACAUCUUAUUGUGUCUUAUAAGAAAAGAGAGGGUUCUAACAAUCAAGUUAAUGCUAGUAGUAGUAGUAGUAGUAGACGUAUCAUCAGAGCGCCAGUUUUACCGAUUAUUCGAAAACCAUGGAGAAAAGGCAAUAUACAAGGGGUGAUAAGCAGUAGUAAUAAUUUUUUAGGGUAUAAAGUUUCGCGGUUCGCUAAUAAGGUAUCUUAUCCCACGGUACUUCUAAAUAGAGUUCCUUCGAUUCGAAGAAUAGAUCUUGUCGGAAAAGGUAAAGAUAAAUUCAUGGGGUCACCGGAGAGACGCAUAGGUUUGGCUGAUAUUAUGAGAAGAACAUCAUGGGUUAAGUCACGCUAUAGUAAUCAACUUAUAUGGGAUAUCAUGUAUUAUAAAACCUUAAUGUUGUUGUCGCCUCGCGUAUCAGGUGGUCCAAGUUACUGCUAGAUGGACGAACACGCGAUUCUCAACGCACAAAGGGUUCUUGAUUCAGUGGUCGUACCUGCAAAAAGGCAUCCGGACAGGGUGUCCGGACGCACCCUCCGAUGGUUUUAUUAGGCAUGGUGAGAAAGAGGAAUAUAAAUCAGUUGGCCUUUUACUAGAUAUCAAGAGGUUACCAGGAGAGAUCCCUCUCUUCUUCGUGUGAAUGCAUAUAUAUACAGCUUCAGGGGUACUGCUCCUUUCAUUAAUGGUGAGAAGAUAUUUUAUGUUGUGAUGAUGAUAAUAGGUGUCAGUAGGAGCACUAUCAUCCUACGAAUGGCUGUCAGAGACCAUGGUAGGUGAUGCGGCUGUCAAAGAUCGUGGGAAGUGAUUAUGUAGAAUGAUCGUGGGAAGUGACUUGCUGUCACUUCUUCUUGUCCUCUCACUCUACAGGUGACAAGAUGUGGGCCAUGACUGCUUGUUGUGAUUGCGUGUAAGACUCGCUUUACUUUAAUUGACCAUCCAGUCGAUUUAUAUCCGGAUGGCUCAUGCUGAUUAUCCGGAUGUGUUGUGGAGACUAUCCGGAUGUCUACGCUCUACCAGCGUCGUUUGCUCUUCCUUGGAUAGGAGAAGCUGAAACAUCGUUUGCCUUUCCUUGAGGCGGUCCGGAUAGGAUAACUGCACCAUGCAUAUCCUUAGGGGAAUCCGGAUGACGAUGGUACGACUGAUAAUACGUGCCACGCGUCACCAUGAGCUGCGUGCCACGUGUUUCUCAAGGGGAGGGGUCCCUACAUUGCCCCCCUUUUUAACAUGCCUAUUUUGCCCGAAAAAUGGGCGGGUUAAAAAUAACUGGCUUUUGAAAAUUUAAGAGGUCCCUUCGUCUAACUGGGCCACGUGGCGAGUGGGGGUGCGGAAGCCAAAAAAGCAUUUAUGACGAGCCGCCGACCCUGUGUAUCCCCAGGCAAUAUGUCGUUUCAAUGAUAACAUGACUGUUGGUUUGGUUUGCCGAGGGGCUGUCCCACUAUAAAUAGGGCACUGUACCUCUUUUUGCAUUUUUUCCUACUGCAUUCUCUUGAGAGCCUUUCUUCUUACUGCUUUUUCUGCGCCCUUUGCUUCUCUGAGAAAAACUUCGAAAAGCUCUUUUGUACCGGUGUUUUUGUAUCGCGACUUCAUUUGUUUGCUGCUGUUUAUUUUGUACCGAGACAGUAAUCGUUCUUCUUCUUCAGAGGUUUAUUUGGUGCGUACCUCUUUGCUACUGUCAUUCCUUUGGUUGCUUUUGCUGGUUCUUUAAACUUGGUUCCUGGCUUGCUUGGGCAUUGUUUUGGACAAGUCGCUUGCAAUUGUUUGUUGAAUGUUGGUACUUUGUUGGUGUUCGGGGGGGGAUUUUUGAGGGGUUUUUCUGACUGCUUUGGGUUAGGGUUUGUGUAUUUUCUGACUGCUUGGUUUGAACCGUUUGCAUUGCUUUUGUAUGUAGAUUUUGCUUUGGCUUUGUGGUAAGAAAUGGCUCCAAAAAAGACUGUUUCAUCUGCCCGGGUCAGCGAGGCUGGCGAAAAGGCAAUAGACAAAUUAGAUGUGAAGGAGUUCCGGGAGCGGUUCUGCAUCCCAAAUGACGUAUCUAUAGACUUGGUGAACGAGGAAGCGGCGAUGCCUACUGAGAAAGGUGAGGAAAACGUUAUCCUCUUCACAAAGGAACAAUUCAACGCGGGGCUCCGAUUCCCUCUGCCGGCGUUGUUCAAGGAAUUCCUCCACUUCUCUCAGAUUCCACCCAUCUUCAUUCAUCCCAACCUUGUCCGGGUGCUGAUGGGAUGCAGCAUCAUCAACAUGCUGUACAGCCUCGACCUGACUCUACUGGAAGUGUUCUUUGUCUAUUCCCUGAAGAAAGCAAAGACUGAUAUCUUCAGUGUGUCCGCGCACCUGCCCUCCCUUCAAAUGGUGACAGAGCUGCCAUAUUCGACAAAGGGAGGGGCGAAGGGGCUGGUGGCGGUCGGGGGUGUAUGGGCGGGGCUAUCGCAGCAUGCGUCGAGGCCUUUUUCUCCAAAUUAUACUUUAAAAAUUUCGGGUAAUCUUGUUUUGCGAUUCUCUGUCCGGUUUUUACUUUGCUGAUUUUUUGUUGAUUUUUCCGGACGGAAUUCUCACCUUUUGUUGCUGACAAUGCAGGUUUGGAAUUGAGGGGCCACCUUGUGGAUUGGGUGGAAAAGGCGUCCUUCGCCUGUGUAUGCAAAUUAUUCGAGAUAGAUCCCAAGGAGAGGGCCUACAAGACAUUGCUUUCCGCGCGGAAUUUGAUAGCGGUCGUCCGGGAGCCCCAGGAAUAUGUUAUCAAUAUUCUCCCCAGGAAAUUGGCAAAGGAUGAGAUAGUGCCUGGGGAGCAUUAUACUGUGAAGGAGCUCCCCCUCUAUCAGGAAGCUAAAGAAGCUGAUGCUGAAAGACGGCGAAAGCUCCUGAAGGAUAGAGAUCAGAAAAAAACUGAAGGCACUAUCCGGAAGGCUCCCGGACAGAAGCGGGGUCCGGACUCUCCUUCAAAGAAAACUCCAGGAAAGAGGAGGAAGCUGGUGAAGAAGCAUGGGAAGGAUGUGAAGGAACCCACUCCUCCCAAGGAGUUUCCCCCUCCACAAAUUACCUAUGAGGGGGAAGUAAUGAUAGAGGAGCCAGUAAACGCUGCUCCGCACUCUAUCUCAAGCGGCCCCGGAUGCAUGUCGGGGUUGAAUCAUGCGGGCCCUUCCUUAGCCGCGGCUGCGCGUCUGGCUAACGUGGCUGAGGAAGCUGCAUCUAUCAACCAUCCGGGCAACCUUAAUCCGGAUGCUGAUGCAGCUGAAACGGCCCCGUUGGAGGAAGUGGGGGCGGAAAGCCAAAGUCAGCCUUCCGACGACCCGGAUUGCUUGGCCAUAGUCCUGGUGAAAGGGCCUUCUCCAAAGAAACCGCGUUCGAUGCGCGAUCUACGGUCCGGACUCCUCGGGCGGCUUCAGGAGCGGCAGCAAGAGAUUGAAGUUAGCUGCGCUUCUGCUCAUGAUGUUCAUCCGGAUGGAGGCGAGGUGGAGAUGGCAACUGAGACCUCAGCCGCCCCGGCAAUAAUUUCGGUUGAAGAUGCAUCCGGACAUAUGUGUCCGGACGAAGAUGUGGGGGUUCCGAUUCCGGGACAAGAGUUACCUUCUGCUUCCUCAUCUGAGGAAGAUCCUGCUGACGAUGCCGCUCCUGCUAGCCCUUUCAGCUACACAAAGUUGGAAGUUAAGUUAAAGCAGAUUACACCCGACUGGAAAGCCAUCAAGCCCUCUGCUAAGAUGUUUGAUAUGAUAGAAACGGUAUAUCGUUGUCUUGUGUUUUUGCUUUUUGACUUUUUGUUGCACUGAUGUGUUUGUUGUAGUAUGAUUUAUGUCUUUGUUUUUCUUGUUUGCGUGUCAGCUGGUGAGGGGCCUUCGCAGCAUGUCUCAACAACACGAUCUUUUUACUCAGCUGCUGCAGACUGCAGACUAUAUGAGGACCUUCUCCUCUCGGCGCCAAGAGAUUGAAAAUCAGCUGCGUCUGAGAAUGGAGGAGGUUGAGGCCAAUUUAUCCACUAUGCGAGAGGAAAAUGAAGCCCUCCGAGCGGAGUUGGCUGAGGCGAAGAGUCGCGAAGAAUCAACUGCGGGUCGCCUACAUGAGGCGGAAGGUGAGGCAGCCCGGCUGAGGGAUGAAGUGAGUCAACUCCGGACCGAAGUUUCGAAUGAAAAGAAACAGAAGGAAGACUUGCAGCUGCGCCUGGAUGUGCAAAAAGAAGAACUUGAACGGGAGUUUGCUGUGGAAAGGGAGGAACUUGCAGCGGACUACCAGCAACAAGUGGAUGAUACGUUUAUCUUUGGGUAUCGCUGCUGCAUGAAGAAGAACGGCAUCAAACGAGAUACCCCUUCAAUUCCUCCGGGUGAAGAAAAGAAGCUCUAUGAGAAGCCCGCUCCCUGAUAGUUAUCUCUUUUUGCAAUUUUUCUGCUGUAAUUUUUUCCUUCUGUAUUUCUGUGGUCCGGAGAUCUCUUUGUAAUUACAUCUAUUCAUAUCAAUAAAAACAUAUUUCUUUUUCAUUUGCACUUGUGUCUACUUUUUAUUGAUAGUACUGCUUUAAAUUGGACACAUUCCAUGGUCUAAGUAAUGGAGUGCCAUCUAGCUUUUGUAAAUGAUAGGCUCCAUUUUUGUUUGCCUUAGACACUAUGUAGGGUCCUUCCCAAUUGGCUUGGAACUUUCCAGCGCCUACUUCAGUAGUAUUUUCAAAAACUUUUCAAGUACUAACGUACCAUUUUUGAAGUUUCUGGGCCUGACUUUUCGAUUGUAAUGCGCUGAUGCCCUUUGUUGAUAAUCUGCCAUCCGGAUGGCCGCGCUUUCUCUGACUUCGUCUGCCCAGUCCAAAUUUCUUCCUAGUUCCGUGUUGGCAUCUUUUUGUUUUGCUGCAUCGGUCCGGAUAGUAGGAAGACCUAUUUUAGUGGGAAUGACUGCAUCCAUUCCAUAUGUGAGGGCGAAAGGAGUGUUUCCUGUCGGCCGUCCGGGUGUGGUUCGAUAGGCCCACAGGACACCGGGUAGCUCCUCCACCCACUUCCCUUUGGCUUGCUCAAGCCUUUUCUUUAAGGCAUUGAUUAGAGUUUUGUUUGUGGCUUCCGCUUGCCCAUUGCUUUGAGGAUAACGUGGCGUGGAGUAUGAAUUCCGGAUAUUCAAUUCCGAACAGAAAUUCCUGAAUACAAUGCUGUCAAAUUGUGGACCAUUGUCAGCUAUGAUGAUUUGGGGAAUUCCAAAGCGGCAAACAAUGUUCUUCCAUACGAAUUUGGUGACAUCUUUAUCUUUGAUGCUUGCAUAUGCUUCAGCUUCUACCCAUUUACUGAAGUAAUCAGUGGCGACAAGGAGGAAUUUCUUUUGGGCAGGUGCUGCUAGGAGGGGUCCCACUAUGUCCAUGCCCCACUGCGCGAAAGGCCAUGGGCUUGAGACCGAUUUCAAUGCUGCUGAUGGCAUAUGUGGAAUGGGAGCGUAUCUUUGACAUUUAUUACACUUUUGGACAUAUGCUGCUGCGUCUUUCUUCAUUGUUGGCCAAUAGUAUCCUUGUGAAUGAGCUCUAUGUGCCAGGGAUCGUCCUCCCGUAUGAUUUCCGCAUAUUCCCUCAUGUAAUUCAGCUAGCACAUACUGGGCCUCUGAAUGCCCAAGAGAGCGAAGAUAAGGCCCUGUGAAGGAUCGCUUGUACAGGUGCCCCCCAAUCAGGGUGAAACGGGCAGCUUGCACCCGGAUUUUGUGCGCUUGUUUAGGAUCUUCGGGUAAAGUGUCUGUCCGGAGAUAUUCUGCAAUAUCAUGCGUCCAUUCUUGAUCAUCCGUUUGGUUUGCCUCAAUGGUGUUGCAAGUGGAAUUUUCUGUGACAGAGGGAUUGGCUUGCACAUGUAUGGGCAGUAGAAUGGCUUCUGUGAUGGGGAAGGAAGCAGCUAUACCGGCCAAGGCGUCAGCGCGCCCGUUGUCAGCUCGCUUAAUUUUUUCGAUUGUCCACUCGGUGAAUUGCUGUAAGGUGCUUCUUACUUUGGCCAAGUAUCGCGCCAUGCGUGCGUCCUUAGCCUCAUAUUCUUUCUGGACGUGCCUUACCACUAGUUGCGAGUCGCUGUAGAUCCGGAGUUUGGAGACGGAUAGAGCAAGGGCGAGGUCCAAUUCGGACAGGAUGGCCUCGUAUUCUGCUUCAUUGUUAGACGCGGAGAAUCCCAGCCGGAUGGCUUGCUCCAGAUGUUCCCCAGUUGGGGACUGUAGUAAGAGCUCAACUCCAGAGCCUGAUGAGCGUGAGGCUCCGUCAACUCGUAGUGUCCACCACUCUUGUUCACUUGAUUCGUGGUGCUGGUUGGGUCUUCGUGAAUAUUCGAGCACAAAGUCGGCCAUUACUUGGCCUUUUUUGGAUAAUCUGGGUUGGAAUUCGAUUCCAAAUUCGCUCAAUUCGAUGGCCCAUUAUAGCAUUCGCCCAGUUAAAUCUGGUUUGUGCAGAAUGCUACGAAGGGGUUGGUCGGUCAGUACAAUCACUGGGUGGGCUUGAAAAUAGGGGCGGAACUUUUGGGCAGCACUUCGAAGAGCUAAGGCUGUUAGCUCCAUUUUUGAAUACCUGGUUUCUAUAUCUGCCAAUGCCCUGCUGACAUAGUAGACAGGUUUCUGCUCCUUUGGUGAAGGGCAGCGGAAUAGAACGGCGCUGAUUGCCCAUUAUGAGACAGCCAGAUACAUGUAUAGCUUCUCCUUUGGGAUGGGGCUGCUCAAGAUGGGUGGAUGCAUAAGACAAUGUUUAAUUCUUUCCAACGCGUUUUGGCAAUUGUCCGUCCACCCAUGCGUUCCAGCUUUUCGUAUCGCCAAGAAGAAGGGUCGCAACUCAUCAGUGAAGCGGGCUAUGAAACGCCCUAAUGCAACGAGUUUGCCUGUGAGGCGCUGCAACUCUUUUUUGUUCCUAGGAGGGGGUGUUUCCAUGACUGCCUUGACUUGAUCCGGGCUGACUUCUAUGCCUCUCUGGCUGACCAUAAAUCUCAGGAACUUGCCAGCACUUACUCCAAAGGCGCAUUUAGAAGGAUUUAGCUUCAUGUCAUACCUUCGCAAGAGGUGAAAAACUUCUUGUAAGUGAAGAUCAUGCUGCUCUCGGGUUUUGCUUUUAACCACAAUGUCAUCAAUAUACACUUCUACCGUGUGGCCUAUUAGGGGUUUGAAGAUUUUAGUCAUUAAUCUCUGAUAAGUGGCGCCAGCGUUCUUGAGUCCGAAUGGCAUGACUUUGUAGCAGUAGAGGCCAUGUGGUGUUAUGAAUGCUGUCUUUUCUUCGUCAUCCGGAGACAUGGGAAUCUGGUGAUAUCCGGAGAAGGCAUCCAAGAAAGAGAGCAUUCCUUGCCCGGAAGUGGAAUCCACAAUUUGAUCUAUUCGUGGUAAGGGAAAACUGUCUUUUGGACAUGCGUUAUUGAGAUUGGUAUAAUCAACACAGACUCGCCACUUGCCCUCUUUCUUUGGUACCACCACUACAUUUGCCAACCAAUCCGGAUAAGAUACUUCUCUGAUGAAUCCGGCUUCCAUUAAUUUGUCAAUUUCAUUUCGGAUAACUUUUUGCCUAUUCGGAUGAAAGCGUCUAAUCUUCUGUCGAACUGGUCUGGCUGCUGGAAAGACGUUAAGCUUGUGAGAGGCAAUAGAGGGAUGAAUUCCCUUCAUAUCCGAAUGUGUCCAUGCGAAGAUGUCAUGGUUGCUUCGAAGGAUAUUUUGUAUGCUCUGAGUUUCUUCUUGUGUCAUGAGGGAACUGAUGUUUGUGAGGUGAUCAUUCUCUUCUGAGAUUUGGAUUGUUUGUAAGGGAUCUGCUGCCGGGGGAUCCUUGUCCACCGGACCCAAUAAUUGCUAUUGGUCACGCGCAUGGCUGGGUUCAGGGGGAGAUGUAUCCUCCUGGCUGGUUCCCGCUUCUCGUGCUAUUUGAUAGCACUGUCGAGCAGCCAACUGGCUGCCAUACAAGUCAGUUUGCCCUUCGUUGGUGAGGAAACUCACCAUUUGAUGAUAUGUGGAAGGGAUGGCUUUCAUAUAGUGAAGCCAUGUGCGUCCUAAGAUGACAUUGAAGGGUGAUAACUCUUGUACCACUGAGAAUUGCACGUUGAGAGUGACUGGGCCAGCUUGGACCGGUAGUAUAAUGUCUCCUAAGGAUGUGGUUGAUGACCCGUUGAAUCCGGAUAAGAUUCGUCCGGGGUUUUCGAGACCCGCGAGACUAUGUCCCAUAUGGCCAACGACUGAUGCUUGCACCAGAUCGGUUGAACUGCCUGGGUCGACCAAGAUACGUCUUACAUCGAAAUCUCCUAUUUCUAGGGAGAGGAUGAAGGCGUCGCGAUGUGGCUGUAGCGUCCGGGUGGGAUCUACUGGUGGGAAAAUGAUUGUCCCAUCUAUGGGGCGAGGGCCCUCUCCAGUGAGACCCGGUCGGAUGGAAUUAAUGCGUUCGCGUAUUGACGCGGCUCGCAGCAAUUUCUGCCUUUUCCGCCUGGAAUCGUAUUCCUCGUCAGAUGGGCCCCCGUUGAUAUAGUUUAUGACAGCCUUGGGGGCGACUGGGGCCCUCGGGGCCCCAGAGUUAUGAUGUUGAGAUGCGUCCCUACCUCCAGCUUCUGAGCGGAGGUACUGUUUUAAAUGUCCUGCUUUGAUGAGCCUUUCAACUAGAUACUGGAGGGACCGACAUGUCUCUGUUGUAUGACCAUGGUCUUUGUGGAAGGCGCAUUUCUUGCUGCGGUCUCUCAUGGAUGGGUCCGUUUCGAGGGGUCUAGGCCACCUGAAGUCUGACAACCCUUGGAUCAUUGGGAGAAGUUUUUCAUAUGACACGGAUAGGGGUGUGAUGGGCGGCCUAUCCGGACGACUCGGCCCGUCCUGCCUCCGGUCAACUGGUUUUGGCCGGUCCGGAGGUUUGGCAUGUCUGUCCGCGCCAUCUCUAGAAGCUCGUCCGGCAACCAAAACUUGCUGAGUGGCUGCACGUACGUCAUCUUCGAGCAUUCAAUAUUUGUUAGCACGUCUGAACAAAUCGUCCAUCGUUGUAGGAGGUUUUUUGGCCAGCGAUUCGAAAAAUGGAGUGCCUGGACAGAUGCUUCUCUUGAAGAUCUGUAGGACAGCAUCCAUGCUGCAAGCCUCUAUUUGAAGUACGGCUUGGCCAAAUCUUUUCACGAAUUCCCUCAAGGAUUCGUUGUCUCUCAUUUUUAUGUUCUGGAGGGUGCUAAUGUUCUGCUUGUGUCGAGCAGAGCACAAGUACUGUCCCACGAAAGCUUCAGAGAGGUCCCUGAAAUUGUCAACAGACUUAGGAGGUAGGCGAUGAAACCAUGAGAGGGCCUGCCCUUGAAGGCUGGCGGGAAAUACUUUGCAUAGCAAUGCAUCGUUGCCAAUAUCGAGCAUCAUAAGCUGUCGAUAGUGCAUGAUGUGAUCGAAGGGAUCGUUGUUCCCAUCGUAUGUGGAAAACUUUGGUACGAGGAAUCCCCUUGGGGGUUCGUAAUGGGUGAUAUGAGAGCAAAAGGGCGUGGAGAGCAUGUCAUCCAGCCUUUUGCUGAUGGAGCCAAUGGGUGGCUCGUUUGGGAGGUUUCUCCCAGCUGGCCGUUCCGCUAGGUGUGAGUGAACGUUCUGCAUCGCUGGGGUGACCAUGGGGUCACGAUGAGGAGGUACGUUCUGCACCAUGGGAGCGACCAUAGGAUCGGGGCGUGGUGCCCGGGUUGUGUCUACUGGUGGCCUUGACCUCCCAGGCUCUUGUGGGCCUAGUCUUGCGCGCAUAGAACUUGACAACUGUGAUUUUCUAUCACGUUGUCUUUUUGCUGAAAAAUGAGUGGAAUCUGAGCUUUCCUCACGGGGAGCUCGAGGCAUAGGUGUACGUGGCUCAUGGGGCCUUGCGUUGUAUGCUCCUGGGACAACUCCUGUUAACCCAGGAUAUAUUGAUUCUGGCUCUGGCCUUGAGUUUGCCACCUGGCCUCUUGAACGCUGACGACGAGGAGGACCUGACGUUGAGGCUUGAAUGCGUAACACAACGUUUUCUUCCCUUAACCUCUCCGUCUCCUGGAGGAGAGCUCUUAGCUGUUUUUCACUCGCCAACUGUCUUUUUUCGAUGGCCUGACGCCAUUCGAGGUUAUCUUCCUCCCCUCUACCAGAUGAUCGACUUUGGGAAGGUGUGGCCAUCUUUGCUAGUAACUGAAUCAAAAAUAAAAGUAAAGUUCCCGCAGACGGUGCCAAUGUUGUCGCCUCGCGUAUCAGGUGGUCCAAGUUACUGCUAGAUGGACGAACACGCGAUUCUCAACGCACAAAGGGUUCUUAAUUCAGUGGUCGUACCUGCAAAAAGGCAUCCGGACAGGGUGUCCGGACGCACCCUCCGAUGGUUUUGUUAGGCAUGGUGAGAAAGAGGAAUAUAAAUCAGUUGGCCUUUUACUAGGUAUCAAGAGGUUACCAGGAGAGAUCCCUCUCUUCUUCGUGUGAAGGCAUAUAUAUACAGCUUCAGAGGUACUGCUCCUUUCAUUAAUGGUGAGAAGAUAUUUUAUGUUGUGAUGAUGAUAAUAGGUGUCAGUAGGAGCACUAUCAUCCUACGAAUGGCUGUCAGAGACCAUGGUAGGUGAUGCGGCUGUCAGAGAUCAUGGGAAGUGAUUAUGUAGAAUGAUCGUGGGAAGUGACUUGCUGUCACUUCUUCUUGUCCUCUCACUCUGCAAGUGACAAGAUGUGGGCCAUGGCUGCUUGCUGUGAUUGCGUGUAAGACUCGCUUUACUUUAAUUGACCAUCCAGUCGAUUUAUAUCCGGAUGGCUCAUGCUGAUUAUCCGGAUGUGUUGUGGAGACUAUCCGGAUGUCUACGCUCUGCCAGCGUCAUUUGCUCUUCCUUGGAUAGGAGAAGCUGAAACAUCGUUUGCCUUUCCUUGAGGCGGUCCGGAUAGGAUAACUGCACCAUGCAUAUCCUUAGGGGAAUCCGGAUGACGAUGGUCCGGCUGAUAAUACGUGCCACGCGUCACCAUGAGCUGCGUGCCACGUGUUUCUCAAGGGGAGGGGUCCCUACAAAUGUGCGUGAUGAUCGGAUUCUCUAUCUGGUGGUAUAAUGUCCCUGAUCAAAUAUUAAAUGUUCUGUUUGUCUUAACUAAACCAGAGUUAGGGGGGUUAAUUGAUAUGGUAAAGGAUACCUUUAUCAAUGGUGUAUGUGUUGAGCACAAAAACCCGAGUCCUUGUGAAUGUGGUGAAUUUAGAAAUUCCGUAACUAAAUCUGUAUUUGGACAGGAAAUGAGUGACUGUGAUAUAAGAAAAGCACGAGCUAUGUCGCUUGCUACGAUGUUAACGGGUGCAAUAGUUGUUAUAUUACUAGCUAGGGAUAGUAUUCCUUCGGAGGGAGUCGAUAUUGAUAUAUUUAAAUAAGAAUGAUAAAAAUGAUGGAAAUGGUAAAAAUUGUAAACAUGAUAUUUAGGCCAGGCUCUUAUAUGCUUUUCCAUGUAACGUAUAGAUCAUAUUCUGAUGGUAGGACGAAAGAUGAUUUAAGUAAGAACUAUUCUUUUCCAAAUCGGGAUGAUGUUAGAAAAUGUUCUAUUCACAGUUUGGUAUUUGAAAUAAACGUUGUUUACGCUUUAUUUAAGGAGAAGGUUGAUGGCUACUCUAAAGAAUUAGAUAUUCUUAGUAUUCAAAACUUACUUCUAUCUGGUAAUUACCACUUAUCCCCACUUUGCUUAGUUCGCAGCGAUGAUGAAUUUCCCCGGUCAAAUUCGAUCCCAAUGUUUUUAUUUGAUUUCACCUCUCUUGCUGACCACUUGGUUAUGUGUUCACUUGGUGGUAUCUUAAUCCAAGAGUUGAAUCAUUCUUCUUAUUUUCGUAAAUCAUGCUAUAGUGCUUAUAAUUCUUCUGAUAGAUCAUAUAUCCAUUACAUCAAUACCAUUCAAGAGUGGGUUGAAAUGGAAGCUCUUCUUAUACUAAAUUGCGGUAAAUCUAUUACCUAUUUCUCCAGGUCACGACUUAUAGAAAAAAUACGCCCUAUUGUGAACAAUGAUGAUAACUUAGUCUCGUGUCUAGCAGCUGUGAGAAAUAGGUUCACAUAUUCCUAUAUAUUAGCGAACCAAUGAUGCUAAUAUAUAUUGAAUAUCAAAGGUUACUCGUGCGUCAAUUGAUUCAGAAUGCUUGUUACAUAAGAGACAUAUAGAUGCUAAAUAUACUCCACGCCUCUGAAUUUUAUCAUCAGUAGGGAGAAUUUGGUGAAGAAGCCUCCAUGCAAGAGUUGAAUAUUUAGGGGGAAUAAAGUUGGCCCCAAUAAGCUUACGGGAAGUUCUUUCUGAACUCUUCAUAACAAUUAGCCAUUGAUACAAGCCGGAUGGGUUUUAGUGGAAGUUUGAGUUAAGUACAGUAGGUAACUCCGGAAUGAGAGAAGAGAUAGAUCAAGUAGUCCAGUCGGGAAGGUCCGAACCUUCACUUUCACUGGAACCCCGAGAUGUUUAGUGGGGAACAACNNNNNNNNNNNNNNNNNNNNNNNNNNNNNNNNNNNNNNNNNNNNNNNNNNNNNNNNNNNNNNNNNNNNNNNNNNNNNNNNNNNNNNNNNNNNNNNNNNNNAAAACAAUUAACCUUAGAUAGGGCCUAGGGGGCGUCCCAAUGAUGACAAACCCAAGGAAAGAAUGAAUGACCUUAGAUAGAACCUAUGAUGUCGUCCCAAAGAUGAAAAACAAAAGGGAGAAAGAAUAAACUAGAUGGUGUCCAAACGAUGAGAAACCAAAGGAAUGUCCCAAUGAUGAAAAACAAGUGGAACAACCAAAUGAAAUUAGAUAAAACCUAGAUGGCGUUCCAAUGAUAGGAAACAAAAAGGAUGAAGAAUAAACAUCGAACUUCCACUAAUCUCUAUCGAAAGCAACUCAAACUUCCACUAAAACCCCUCCGGCUUGCCGGUAAAAGAUGGAAUGGGACUAUUAACUACUGACAUACUACCUAGAGGGGAUUCCGGCUUAGCAAGAGAAGCAAUGGCAACUGCAUCUCUAAAUGAAAUGGAUAAAAAGUAGCAUUAGGGCUUCCUGCCUCACUCGCUGUAACAGACUCAGAGAUUGCCCCCAAUAAAAGCCUAAAAUGCUCGCUUUCUAUCUCACUUGUUGUAUAGGAAAGGCUCCUACAAGGAUAAAUGAAAUGCUUUAAGUACUAUAAGGCAAGGCAGUUCUGGAGAAAGUUUAUCUAUCAGUCUAAGUAGCUCACCCGGGAACAAUCUCAGGUUGCUUCUUUCCCGCUUUCAAGCAGUCUAGGAGCGCAGCGAAGGAGAAGUAGGCAAUGUAAUUGUACCCACAGAAGGAAUACUAUCCCUAGCUAGUAAUAUAACAACUAUUGCACCCGUUAACAUCGUAGCAAGCGACAUAGCUCGUGCUUUUCUUAUAUCACAGUCACUCAUUUCCUGUCCAAAUACAGAUUUAGUUACGGAAUUUCUAAAUUCACCACAUUCACAAGGACUCGGGUUUUUGUGCUCAACACAUACACCAUUGAUAAAGGUAUCCUUUACCAUAUCAAUUAACCCCCCUAACUCUGGUUUAGUUAAGACAAACAGAACAUUUAAUAUUUGAUCAGGGACAUUAUACCACCAGAUAGAUCGUCUAUAGAUUGUUAUACUCAUAUGGAAGUGCGAGAUGAACUAAUCGGAGCGAGGACCGCUAACCAAGAAGGAAGACCUUUGAGAUUGAUAUUCACAGAGAGAGGAGUAUUGAACCGAGGAUUGGAGCCGAGAGAGUCAACUUAUUCCAUAGAAGAGAAGCCUAACCCUCUACUGAGCUUCUCACUCACUUCUCCUGAACUUCCUUCGAAUAAUAACAAGCAAGCUACCUUCUUCUUCGUGAGCUACCGCCUUAGUGAUUCGAGGAGUACAACAACCCAGAUAAACUAGUUGCUGAGCUUCCCCACGGACAAAAAACGGAAUGGAUUUAUCUUUCCUUCGCCGGAGACUGAGCUAACGAUAUGGAAUAUCCCCUCAUAACUCAUUCUAUUGGUGUUUUUCCUUACUAUAGAUUCUAUUUUACGGUAUCGAGAGUACCGGGACCUAGAAAGAGUGAUCAAAUCUCUUUCUUUGCUAGAACUCGUAGCCAUAUAUGAUCAGUUUAGCCUGAGCCUACUAACAAACCUACCCUUCUUGACUUAAAGUUGAGUUUCCUAUAAAGAGAACUAGCUACGCUAUCCUUACUAGAAAUGGAGCCCAUUACAUUACCUUGACUGCCUUACUUGACUGGGGAGCAACUCUCGUAUGAACAACGUAUCGCUACGCCCCUUCUACUUUCAGCCAGUUUACAACUGGCCUUCUGCUGCUAACCUUUUUCCCUCUGCUGUGCUGCUUCAAGCGGGGAUUCUGCCUUCAACUAAUCAAUAGAAUCGUUAUAGAUUUUCGAAGAAGUGGCUUCCGAUCUUUAUUGCCCUGCCUUUCCUGCCAAUCCGCUAGAACAAUUCCAUAAGUUAGCUAUUUACUAGAUAGAGGUCUUACCUCGGGCUUCGUUGCUUUCCGAGCUCACUAGAUUGAUACCAAAGAAAGUGCAUUCGUUCGAUUGAUCGCAUCCCUUCAAACUCACAUUCGCAUGUUGGUUGUUCCCCACUAAACAUCUCGGGUUCCAGUGAAAGUGAAGGUUCGGACCUUCCCGACUGGACUACUUGAUCUAUCUCUUCUCUCAUUCCGGACUUACCUACUCUACUUCGUACCUUGGAUCUCAUUUCUUUUCACAUUUCAUUGACCUAGCUUGACUUGAGAGAGGAGGGAAUGGUUGACGAGACUUUCUUCGAUACCGACUGCCUAGAAAGAGACGACCUCUCAAAUCAUCAGUAAGGGAAGAAUUGUGUUUUAUCCAAUGUUUUAAAAACCGGACCGGACCGGCCGGUCCGACCGGUCGAACCACCGACCGGUCAACUUUCCGGUUCGGUCCGUCUCAAGGAACCGUUUUGUGGUCGAACCGGCAUUAAACCGUUCAAACCACCGGUCGAACCGCCGAACCGGACAAACCGUCCGGUUUUUCACGAACCGGCCAAGCCUUCUUUUUCAAAUUCUACAAAAAUUUGUUCAAAAUUAAAAGGCCCAUUAUCCAUUGAGCCCAUUCCACACCCAUAACUUUUGAAACUCCAAGUAAUUAUAAGCCCAUAGUUGGUUUAAACAACUGGGCCCAAACAAAUAAAUCAUUAGCUUAUUAUCAUGUCCCUUGGGCCAUGCCUUUCAAGCCCAAUUUGUUAGCUUGUUUAGCUUGGUUUGCCUGUUGCAACUUGCAAGGUAUUUAUAGAGUACUUGAAGCACAUGGAAUUCUUGUGCUUCCGAUGUGGGACUGGAAUAGGACUGCCUCAAAGGCUGGAUGCAUGGCAGCAUGAGGGCUGGACGCGGAUGCAUGGAAGGCUGGCAGCAUGAGGGUUGGACGCAUGAGCUAUUCAUAUCAUUGCAAUGUUGUUAAAAAAAAUAUAUAUAUAUAUAUAAUAAGACUUAACAUUAAUGUUUUUAUUUCAAAUUUUUAUCAUAUAAAAUCUUUAAAGAAAUGUAAAUAUUUAAAUUCCUGUUUAUUUUUAUAACAAUUAUAAAAAAUAAUAUAAAUUAAUUAAUAGAAUAAUUUUAAAACAAUAAAAUACAAAGACAAAAAGAUAAAAUUAAAUAUAUAAUUUUUUUCAUUUUAAAUAUAUCUUCAUUCUUAAAUAUUACAUCUUUCUAUUUAAUAAAAUUUAAAAUAUUAAACUUUAUCAUUUAAUUUAAUAUUCCAAAUAUAAAAAUCAAACAUUAUUAAAAUUUAUAAUUUUAUAUAUUUUUAAUUUUAUAUAAUAUAUAAAUUAUAUAUUUAUUACAUCACCGGUUCAAUAGCGGUUCGACCGCCGGUCCGACCGGUGAACCGUGAACCGGUAAUUUUUCCGGUUCGAUCACCGGUCCGGUUCUGAAAACAUUGGUUUUAUCAAAACAUUCUAAGCAGAAUCAAGCAGAAAGUCCAGAUCUUAUAUCUUUCCUGCAGGCAUGGAAAUCAAACUGGAAUGAGACCUUCCUUCUGAUUCUGAGAUGCCGAGAACCUGGUCUUCUUGUUCACGCCUCAGCUGCUAAAGAAAGAAAGAGAUCUUCUUCAUUUACUCUAUGGAAACCAUUGAGAGUUCGGUUCUAGCCAAUCCUAAUCCAAUCCCAUCCAGUUGGAGUCCUUCUAAUCAUCUAGAGUGCCUGUUGAAAUUGGAGCUGCAGUUACAGCAGUUGGACUUUAUACCCUUCGCCCUGAUUGAGUAGGCAUUCCCGUAGCAGAGGGCAAUAUGUCUAGUAGCAGCGAGUAUUUACUUGAGUCAGCCUAUAUAGUAUAGUCUUUAUCUCCAGAACUAGGAAAAAACCUUAGAGUGUAAGUGCACGAGGAGACAGGCGAGCCGGUGGUAGAAAGCUUCCAUGUCGUAGGAUAGGCCAUAAUAGUUGCCAGUAUCCCUUCCAGGCAUUUAUCAAGUGCUUCUCUUUCAGGCUUCCACAGUAGUAUAUCUAUAUCUUGGGGGGCUAUAUAAGUACAUUUAUUUCCUGCCUCUCUCCCGGGCGAGGGCUUCUAUGUUCUGGUUCACCACCCCAUAUUGACUAAGCUCCUGUAAGAGUUCCGAUAUCCAGGCAAUCUUAAUAUAAGUCGUCCCCUUUAGUGUAAUCUCUCUAGUGCCAGUACCCUUUACAUUAGAGUUAGGUCAGCUCCUUUACCAGCGAGCCCUCCCUUUCUUCCUUCAAAUUAUCCCAGUGGACUGACUCACAGGUUAUAGGGCGGGAGUCAGAAUUAGGGAAUACUUAUAGAUCCUCCGCCUAUCAGCGAAAUGAGCCCACAUCCCCACUCCCCUUUCCCACCCAUCGCUGGGGGCCUCAUCCUUCCCGAAAAAGAACAAGAUUACAUCCGAUUUAGACUCGAACCAUCCUCUAUCAUACUUUAAACUCAAUGAGCCUCUGCCCGUCUACUUACCCUUUCUUCGCGUCAUGAUCAGCCUCAAAAUGAAAGAAAUACAACUACCCGUUAGUUGUCCCGCCCUCUUACCCUUUCUUCGCAUUAUGAUUAGCCUCAAAAUGACCACUUCAUUUCUAUAAAACAUAGUCAAGAAUUUAUAAAAGGCCGAAUGGUUCCCAAUUUUAAUGAAAUUCUCGUUUAGACUAACAGGAUCACAAAAAGAGAAAUCCUCCAAAAUCGAUUGCACGCUAAGCCCGACGCUUUCUUCCACUUGUGAGCUCUUCAUUAUGUCUUGAGAAUACAACUUAUGUUCAACACAUUUAUCAACUCGCAUGAAAACAUAUAGAAUCAAUACUAUGUAUAAAUAUUUCAACCUUAGACUACCCAUUUUAUUUCACUCUUUCCUUCAUUAUAGUUGAUUUUAAUGGUACCGCCUGAGAAAGGGAUAGGAUCCCCACCCCUAACAGCAUGUUCAAUGUCAGGCGAAGUAAAAUUGCAUUCUUUGAAAAUAUCGUUCAAAGCAGCAUAAAGUUCUAUAUUAUUAACUUUAUUAAAAAUGGGAAUAAAUAUCUCAUUUAGAAAGCGUGCAUAUUUAAGUUUAGGCAAUCGUUCUUCAAUAGUUUGAUCAAUAUCGUCCAUAAUUAUAUCAAAUAGAAUUUCAGAUAUGAAAGGAAUAUAAGGAAUGCCAGCUAUGCGUUCAGCUAUAGCACGGGACUAAACUAUUGAAGAACGGGCAGUAAAUUAGCGAAAGGGAAUAGAGAUACUCCAUGAAAUACAGCAAUACACCAACUCUUUGUUGAACGCUAAAGAUACGGCAGAAGGUGCACCAAUAUACAAGGGUUCAAUAUUGACUUAUAUUCCUAUAUAUAAGUCAGGUUAUAGAGUUGAGAUGGGAUAAGUAGAGGAGUAAUGAAGGGGAUAUUCGACAAAGGCUCUCAGUCCACCUGCUAAUCCAGUAUACCCUGUAAUCUCAGGUGCUAUAGAUUUGAAUUCCAAUUCCCUCUUUUCAGGCCCUGAGGAUAGUAUGCGAACAAGCUCAGCCUUUUGCCCUAGAUCUAGAGUUGAAGGGCAAUCACUACUAUCUAAAAAAAGAUGAUCUUAGUAGUAACUAGGGAUAAAGAAAGGAUAGAGUAAGCGUGCAAGAGCUAGAUAAUCCCGGGUUAGAGUGCAAGCUUUUAUAGUACACGACUGUCAUUAUAUAAGUCCCAAGUUUAAGCUAAUCAGUCGUAAGGUUAUGUAGUCAGCCUAUAGCCCUGACUUUAAUUUAAGCAUCAAAAGAUGAUCUUUUAAGUCACUAGGGAUAGUCUUUCUCUGUACCCAGAUGCUAGAGUAGGAGAGGUGUAAGCUAACCUUCUCCAACCGUUCGUGGAAAUGCGUCAUCAUAUCAGCCAGAAGGAGACUAUAGCUGAACGCAUUGAUUCAGAAUAUCUGUAGUAGUAACUUAUAUGGUAGGCCUUUACCCAUAUAAGUUGAUUACUAUAGCGUGACUUAACCCGUGAUGUUCUUCUCAUAAUAUCAGCCAAACCUAUGCGUCUCUCCGGUGACCCCAUGAAUUUAUCUUUACCUUUUCCGACAAGAUCUAUUCUUCGAAUCGAAGGAACUCUAUUUAGAAGUACCAUGGGAUAAGAUACCUUAUUAGCGAACCGCGAAACUUUAUACCCUAAAAAAUUAUUACUACUGCUCAUCACCCCUUGUAUAUUGUCUUUUCUCCAUGGUUUUCAAAUAAUCGGUAAAACUGGCGCUCUGAUGAUACGUCUACUACUACUACUACUACUAGCAUUAACUUGAUUGUUAGAACCCUCUCUUUUCUUAUAAGACACAGUAAGAUGUUUGAUUUGCGCAAUUAGACUUUUCAUGUUUUUUGUUAGUUUUUCCAGUUGGUUCGUCCCGCCGUUCCGGCUUCCGGCUUCCUGCUUGCAGCUUCCAGCUUCCGUAUUUAUUAUAUUUUAAUGAUAAACCCCACACCUUCUGCCUUACCUUGGAUCUACUGUGAUGGUUAUAGUUUGAUCUCCCCUCUCUAACUCUGUUGAGUUGGUCUAAGCCUCUACUCUUUGCGUUUUGAUUUAUGUUUCGAGUGUUCUCAUACUGUAGAGAGGGACGAGCAUUCAGGUAUCACUUUUUAAAGGUGUGUUUCCCGACGUUCCUAAGGAAAAAAUAGGAUAUUGUGAUUCCUCUUUUUUCCCUAAAGAUCAACAAAAAGCGUUGGGUAAUUUCGUCGAGUCAAUUUUUCUCUCAUAAGUGAUAUAACAAGCAAGGGGAUCAUGGUGUAUGACAAGACGGUGGUUCACAAAAAGGGACAGUGAUGCGCACAAGGAAAUUGUAGAUCAUACAAAGAUAAAAUAUUGACUUUAUGGAAUUUGAUUCAAAGUGGAGAUUGUUUAGUGUCUCGAGUUCCUAAGUGGAUUAUGCUCUUUUUUGUAGAUGGAAUAUUAUACAACAUAAUCCUUAGUUUAUAUGUGAUUAUAAUUAGAUUCCUUAUAGAAUAAGAAAAACUAGUAAAAAUAUCUUUAUAAAUAUUCUAUGUCAUGAGAGGAAAAAGUCACGGGAGAGAGAUAGGUUUGUGAGGAUCACACGUAGUGGAUAAAGAUGUGAGAAAUGACAAAAGACACCUCAUGGAGGAAAAUGGUUCACCAGGUGUGGAUGUGAGGAAGAGGAAGAGUAAGAAACACUUGGUGGAUCAAAAUGACUAGUCAGGAUGGAGAUACAAAUAAUUGGGAAAAACGGAAUGUUUUGGAACCUAAUAGUUGUAUCUACUUAUGUUGUUUGUAAUAUCUCUAUCGUAUAAUGAAAUAUUCUCUUUCAUUUAUGAAAGUAGGUAUAAUUGGUUUAACUUUAUUGAAAUUUUGUGUAUCCUUUUAUGUAAUUGAUAUUUUUAUGUUUUUUCAUUAAUAUGUUUAAAUUGACGCUUCUAUUGGCACAACAAUAAGAUAAUACCAUAUCUCUUUUGUAUUUUUUGUCGUAAGAUAUCUAAUAGGAAUAAUGUUUUUAAUGAAAAAUAAAUGAAAAUAUUAAUCAGAUAAUAUUUUUGGGUUUUAAAAAUAUGGAGAAAACAUCAGUUUUUUCGAUUGUAAAAAAAGUUUAUUAAAAAAGAUAUUUUUAAAAAGUUAGUUUAAUAAAGACGACACUUUUAAACUUUUUUUGAAAAACAUAAUAUUUUUAAUUGAAAAUAGAAAGAAUUAUCUUCAUUAGUUUUUAUACUGAGUUGCACCAGUUAAGUAAGCCUCUUAUUUCCCACAUGCCUACAAGAAAGAAAAAAAAAAAAGGUAGUUUUGAGUAAAAAUAAUAUAUUAAAAAAAAAUCCAUGUAAUACAUCUUCAACAAAAAUAAUUUUCAAAUUAGUACAUCAUAUGGACAUCCACAUAACAUAAGAUGUUAUUUUUUUUAAUACCUUUUUUCUAUCACAAAAUCAUUAUUAAAUAACUAUAAUUUUUAAAUUAUAGUUAUUAACUAUAAUUUUAUGACAUAAUAUAAUAAGUGGUUUGAGAAUUAUUUUGGAAAAAGAUUUACUUAGUAGAAUAUUUUUUAACUAAAUUCUCUGGCUAACACAAGGUACGCUUUAGCCGCCCUAACAUGUGUCAAAAGCCUACAAGCUCCUGUGGCUUAAGUUAAUAAUAAUUAAUAAUAAAUUUUUAUUAAAUUUAAUAACAAUUAAAAUUAAUUUUUUAACAUGUGAAUCAAAAUUUUCAUUAGGUACAUAUAUUUAAUACUUAAUUAUGCACAUAAUAUUUUAGAAUACUUUGAUUUAAUAUGCAAUUUCAUUAAUUAAAUCUAUUGUUUGAAUUUUAAAUUAUUUUUAAAAAUCAUUAAACUCAUUAAUAAUUUAAAUAUAAAGUAUCACAUGGUUUGAAGCUCAUUUAUUUAGUGAGAAAAUUUAUAAAAAUAUAAUUACGCAAUCAAAAGUCAUAAUAAAAUGGUUAUGGACAAAUUUUUAUCCAUAAAUUUUUUGUAUAAAUUGCUAAACUUGUAAAUGAAUUAAAUAUAUUAAGUUUUAUUUAAUUUAAAAUUUAUUCGUAUGGUGAAAAAAAUGGUUCUAAUAUAAUAAAGCCAUUUUAAAUUUAUGGUAUUAAUUGGAUUACUAUUUUAAUUUUAAAUUAUUUUUAAAAAUUAUUAAACUCUUUAAUAAAUCAAAUGUAUCAAGUAUAAUUUGAUUUGGAAUUUAUCUAAAUAUUAAAAAAUUUAUAAAAAUAUAAUUAUACUUAAAGAAAAAAACUAAGUCAUCCAAAAUGAAUUUUAAUCUAUAAUUUUCUAAUAUAAUCGAAUUUCAUGGUAUUUUUAUUAUUAAUUAAAUUAGUUUUGAAGUUUCAAAUUAUUUUUGUAAAUUAAUAAAUUAUAUAUAGAGUAUAAUUUGAUUUAAAAUUUAUUUAUUUAAUAAUUUUUUUUAUAUAAAAAUUAAAGGUAAUUCAAGAAAAUAUAUGUAAAGAAGAAAAACCUAUUUAAAAAUUUUUAUGAAAAUAAAAAGAGGGAUAAUAUCAUAUUAAUUAUAUUUGCUUUUUAUAAUUUUUGUUUUAAUUUUUUAUAUUUUCUUUUUAUUCAUAACAACCUAUUAAAACAUUGGUGAAAACAAUUCUCCUUGAUGCUGGUCUUCGAAUUCAUUCGAGGAGAGGGAAGAAAAUUUAUCUUCUCACAAUGGUAAACCGAAAAAAGGAGAAAAAAAAUAAUACCAACAUUAACAAUAAUAAGAAUUUGGAAGGAAAAAAAGGAAAGAAAGAAAGAAAGAAAGAGAGUGAAAUACAACGACUUGUUCAUGUUGGUAGAAUCCAAGGAGCAUUGACGUCUGGCAAAGGAGAAGUAUCCACAGGCGGCGUCCGGUGAAUGAUAUUCCUUUGGCGGUGGUAGGCUGUCCGCUGUAAGUGUGAGAUGGCGUUGGAGGCUGAUGAAAUGGAUUCUCUGUUUGAGGGGAUGAUCCUGUUUAACCCUUCUCAAACCCUUGCAGACCAAGACGGCGUCGAUGGUAACUGUGAUCCAAUCCCUCUAACUGAUGCGUCUGCAUCAUUAUCAUCGUCCUCAUCUCAGCCCCUUGACGAAAACCUCUUCUCAGAUCUCACGCUUAUCACUCCCAAUCAAUUCCGAAAUCCACUCUUGGAUCCCUCUCCAACUCCUAUCUCAACGUCAACAACCAGGGAAGAAACCCCCUCGGUCUCCCGACAGAUUUCCAGAAAGAAAAAGAGAGCCAGUUUAAGGAUCGGAUACGGUAGAGACAGCCUCAACCAGCUCUCCCUUGUUGACGAUGCAGAAGUACAAUCCUCUCCAUCCGAUGAUUCUCAUUCCCAAACCAAAUCCUUUUCUUUGCUUCCCGAUGAGACGCUGGAUUCUCAUCCAUCACCACCAACAACAUCUCAAGCUAUCUUAGUUCGUGAGGAUCAUGAUUUGGUCUUAGAUGAUGUGCAAUUCAAGCCUUUCCCACAACAGAACGAACAGGAACAAAUACAACUAGAGGAAGAAAAGACUACCUGUUCCACUUCCACUGAAGCCAACUUUGAUCGAGUCAGGGCCAUCAUUUCUGAGAAGCUCCACCAUGCUCGGCAAUUGGCUGCUUCAAUUUCUGCAUCAAGGAAGGAUUCCAUGAGGAGGAGACGAAAAGCCGCUCAGAAUCUAAAUCUAGCAUCCACAAAGUCCAUGGAACUUGAGAAGGAGCUUGAGGAAGCAUGCGAGGCUGAAGAUUUUGAGAUGGCAGAGAGGCUGAGCCAGAGCCUUGCUGGAGCAGAGAAGGACAAACAAGCUUUUAUUGCCGCCCUGAGGGAUGCAGAAGCCGAGUGUGAUGCUAUAGAUUCAAAGAUGCAGGAGGUUCUAGAGCGGCAGAUUACAGCUGAGGAAGAAUGCGUUUCUUUGCUGGAACAAUUCGCAACGGUGAGCGUGAUGAUUCAUCCUUGUUUUGGUUGUAUAUGACUCGUCAUUUAAUUUAGCUAAAUGCGGAACAUCAUUCUCAAAUCUGAAAAUUCCAAACUUUAUACUGAACUUUGUCAAAAGAAUCUCUAUUAAAAAGCAGAAAAGUAAAAGUUGCACUACUGAGAAUUUUGAUUGGACAAAAAAAAACAAAGAUAGGGAAAGAAUAGGGAUUGCAAUUGGAAAGUUGGAUGGUUUAAUCCUAAUCUGGAUAAAUUCAUACCAAUAAAAAAUGGACUCUUUGAAAUAUGAUGAACUUGGAUUAUUUUAGAACAGACAGUCAAUUAGGUCCAUAAUUUGAAGGUAACUUAUUUCAAAAUGUGACCCAAUAGUGUAUCAACAACUAAGAUGAUAGCCGGCUCAGGAAUAAUGGAUGUUUUUCAGAUGCUUUCUUGCUUGUAAGAUAGUUUCAUAUACAGUUGCGAUUCUCAUUCAAGAUGUUGAUUUAAUCAGAAGCAAAUUUCCUGACAUUCGAAUUCCCUCUUCCCAGGAUGCUGCUAACAAUGCAAAUGAAAUCUCCAAGAGGGCACAGUUCCUGUCUUCAAAAGAAAUGGACCAAUGGUUUUCAUCAACUGAAGCCUUGGAAGUCAGGAAGUUGGAAUUAGAAAUUGAAUCGCAUUUAAUAAGUGACACACGCUUGUUAUUGAAUGAUUCCAUUGAGCAUGCAGCUGAAGAUGAAAGGAGAGAGAGAGAAUUUCUUUGCAAGAGAAAAGAUACGCUGAUGGAUGAGCUGGAGAAAUUGCUUGCUUUGGUGAGAGAGAAGGAAGAUGAGAUUGCAGAAAAUGAUGCUAACAUCAAAGCUGUUGAUAAAAGAAUAGCUGAUGUUGUCUCUGGAUUUCAAGAGAUGCAUUUAAGCAUCAAUAUGAAAUAUGAUAAUUUGCAAUCAAGCCUAUCUCAGACGGAAUUGGAGAGUGAAGCUUUAUCAAUGAAGAAAAAGGAAAUUGAUGACUUGCUUUCUGAGGAAGAAGAAAGGGGAGCAAAACUUAGGGAACUUGCUAGGAUUUCUGCAGAUGAAGCAAAAGCAUAUGAAGAAGUUGUUGGUCUAAGAAAGAGUUUUGCAUUGUCCAUUGUGAAGUCCAGGGAAGAUAAACUGAGGCUUGCGAAGACUGAAGAAAAACUCUCUGAGGAAGUGCAAAUUCUCAGACAGGAGGUUUCUGCCGCUAGAGCUUCUCUUCAGGUUAGUAUCUCUUCUUGAUCCUGUUGUGUGGUUUCUUCCAUUUGUUCCAACCACUUAGCUUUCAAAAAUGUCUACUUGUUGCGCAAGACUGGAUAUUGUUUAACCUAUAAGAAACUUGUUUUCUUUUCUUGAAACCAAAAAAAGGGGGGGGGGGCAGGUUUGUUUGGGUGGGAGAGAGGGGGAGAGGGAAGUAGUUUUUUUAAUAGAAAAACCUUCAGAGUUUGGCCUUCUAGGUGUUUCUAUUAAAAGAUAAAAUAAUGUAGUCACCCAUAGAUGAUGCAAAGACACAAAAAUUAUCAUCAUUUAUUAUAUUAUUUUUGUUUUAUAAUAAUUAACCUUGUUCAUUGGCUUUAGAGAAUCUUAAAUAUCCAACAAGACCUUGCAUUGAUCUAUUAGGAUUCUUAAGUUCUUUCCUAAGAACUCCUAAACCUGUCAAAAAAAAAAAAACAAAAACAAAAAACAAACAACAGAAAGAAAAAACUCCUAAACCUUUCAAAUUGUAGAAGUGAAGUAUAAAUAAGACAAUUUUCCACUAACAAGACUUGCCAAAUUCUAAAUAAGAAUUUUAAAAUUAUAAAUAAGAUUAAAGUGUGUUAUAUCAACCAAAUUUUAAAUUAGACUUAAUUAACCAACAACUACAAACCAGGAAUCAACUUAGGAUUUGUUUUUCGGUUUUUUCAUUUUCGUGACUAAACCUGAAGAGUCGCAUCCUCAUCAACUCAUUCCAACUUGUCAAAAACUUGACCUCAAAUUGAGACAACUUUCCAAGGUCUAGUGAAAUUCUAAGUCAUUUUUUUUUUUUAAAUUCAUUACCCCAUAAAAAUGAAUUUGUCAUACUUAAUAUAGAACUCUUCAUUAAUUUUGUCUUGGAACAAACCUUUAAAAGACAACGACAUAUUGCUUGCAUGUAGCCUCAAGUUGUCUGGGAAUGGCACUAGAGUCAACGACUCAUGUGAUACUUGGUUCUCUAGAGGUGAGAAAACCAUGCUCUGGAUCUCUAGAAAGAAGGAAGCAAAUGGGCCAAACUUUAAAAGCAAUGAAGGCUAGCCCAAAGUGCAACUUUGGCCCACUAAGAAAUUUAGGCACCUAUCUUUUAAUGUCUUCCUUUUGCUGAGGAAAUUUCAAUCUGGUUCCCCAUGGUGUUUUUGCCCAUCUCAUGACUUGAGCUUCCUUUAAGUAAUUGGGCUUGCUUCCCACUUAUCAAAAAAAAAAAAAAA
rnacentral:lncRNA from 1 species